rnacentral:lncRNA from 1 species
UAAGUUGAAAGCACUAUGAAGAGAGAGAGAGAGAGAGAGAGAGAGAGAAUUAAGAUAUAUAGACAAGAAAAAUAUUAGACGUUGAUCUUACAAACUAAUACUUCAAGCAGUAUCCUGGAAAGCUAAAAACUGCAAGAUGGCUUGAAAUUUGAAAAGAGCACAUGCUUUUCCUCCUUAACUUGAGAAAAUGUUUAAUAUAGUGCACCUUACAGAAGCAUUUAAGCAAUUAGAACUUUGCACAAAAACAUCAAGAAGACUAAACAAGUCAGAUGCAGUGUAUUUGUCCAAGCACAAAUUGCAUUUUGUCCUCAACUUUAAUAUUUAUUGAUGAGAAUCAAUACAGGUCCCUCAUUUGUUAUAGAAAGCUUUCUUUCUUGUAGUCUCACCAGUUAAUUCACAGGUCUAUAAUCAUCUUGCAAAGUUAAGGGCAUUUCUUUUGAUCUAAAGUCUUUGCAUCACCACCUCAUCACACGCCAAGCCAAUAUUCCAUUUACCUCUACAACAAAAAGUUUUAAUUAAACAAUCCUAAUGCACGCAGCCAAAUAAAAUGCAGUAAGAAUAUUCAACUUAAAAAUCUGAAAGCCAACUUGGUGAAUUUCCUCCUUAGGUGAAGUUCCAUGCUUUACUAUAGUUGACAGAACUCAGCAAAAGCUUCCAUACAACAGAUUUUGAAAAUGAUGAUGCCAACAGAUACUCAUUCAAUCCAUUGAAACUCCAAAGGUUCAUUGUUCAUAGAAGUUUACAGAGUUUUGGUCAUCAAAUAGCUCAGACCUAAUCCCAAACAAAAAACGAGUGAAAAUUAGAUCACGAGCAGCUAAUUGUAAAUUCUAACAACUCUUCAUCUCCUUUGUAAACAAGAAACAAAAUGGAGACACGCAAAAUGAAUAUGGAGAAAAUUUGAACUCAAAUGAAAUGAGGGCACGAAAGCAAACAAAUGGCAUGCACAAAAAAACCAAGCCUCAAUCAAAAACUAAUUAACCAUUAAGAAAAAAAUUGGUCAGAGAAUGAACUCCAAUUCAGGAGUCAAGCAAGAAGCUUUCAUUAUUUCAGAAGCUCCUGUACAAAUUAAUAAGUUAUGCUCUUUGGAAGCAAACCUAAAUUCCAAGAGAAACAGAACCCAAAAAAAUUUGUAAUUAUACGCAAAGGAAGUGAAGCACAGGAUUCUAUCACACAUAGGAAUUGUAUAACAAGAGAUCGAUAUAUCGAAUUAGAAAACUCAAUUCGAAUUUGUGUCAAAAAUCAAAAAUUUGCAAUUAUAGCGUUCUAUUUAGUGGUAAUGAAUUCUUGGUUUGGGAGUUGCUUAGUUUAAAACGUUUAAAUGUAUUAAGCAUCAUCUUGAAAAGUUUUUCUGCCGUCCAAAAACUUAUGAGCUUCCAAAAGUUGCAAAGCUGUACACAAUGCUUGGAGCUUGUAGACUGUGAUGAUCCAAAGUCAUUUGCCUUGGCAGAGUUGAAGCAUCUUGAAAAACUAGGUUUUUCGAGUUGUGGAAUAUUCAUGUAAGUGAAGUAACCGUCACAAUACUAGUGAAAUUGGGAGCUUUAUUCAUGAGUUUGUGGUUUUGAAAAGUACCACAGUUCAACUGGUGAAGGCUCCGUUUUGGGAUUCUUCUUUUUCUAGGCUGCAAUUAGGAUAUGUACAUGAUAGACAAUCUUUUGUUGGUUUAGCAUAUCUUCGCUGAUUUUGUCUUUUAUUCCCCAAUUUUAUAAUUACACACCAUGAAUGUUGGGUGAUUGUAUAGAAAAUUUGUGUUAUAACAAAAACAUUGUGAAGGAGUUUCUGUGCUAAUUGUUAGUGGCUUCUGUUUUAUUGGCAUUGAUUGGGUAGAUUACGUGUUACAGUGAUUCAAUUUGUGUUCCAAACUUUGCUUUAAUUUUCUGUUUUCCCCAACUAUUUAUGUCAAAUUUAAAUCCAGAAGCAUGUACUGAUUUUUUCUUUUUGUAUUAAUCUGUGAAGUUUAUUUGGAAUGGAAGUAACUGGGUCGGGUCUAAUGGAUUAAAUUAUGACAUUGAGGGGAAGGCACUAAAAGGGUUUGCUUGACACAUUUGGUUCUGUGUUUACUCUGCAAGAAAUAACUUUUGCUUAUUGCAAUGCAGGGGGAAAUCCCGAUUUGGCUGGUGAAUUUCUCUGCAACAAACAGGCAAACACCUCAACAUCUUCUGUCCAUACUUCUGCUGGGGAGGCAAGGGGUAAAGAGUCUUCAAAAUCAUCAAAUAGUUACAUCUCUGAGAAUUCAUUUUAUGGAAAUGGAAAAUCUAGAGUUUCUAAUACAAAAUGGCAUCUGGUAUCAGGACGUACCGUUUCAAGUUUUCUUGGUAAAGAUUAUGUUAAACCUGCACAGCCAGCUAAUGGCACUUUUCUGGCAUCAAAGCCAUUGAAGUUGGAUCCAAGGGAGUUUCGCAUUUCUGCACUUUCAGAGAAGAAACUAAACCGAAACAAUCAAAGGAUGACCAUUUGCAGAAGGAUAUGGAAGAUUUUCUUUUUAAAUUGCUAGGAGAAGGGUUCCAGCUGUACAGGGAUGUGAUUCAGGAGGUUCAUGGUAACGUCUUAAAUAUAUUGAUGCCAAUUUAAUACAUAUUGUCCUUUUCAAUGUUCUUUCUUUCUUUCUCCUCUUUUUAUUCUUCUUCUUCUUCUUUUUUCUUUUCAUGUGCAUGUGAUCACUAAUUUGGUAUUAUUCUUGACUUGCAGAUAGUUGUGGAUAUGAAAUGCAAAAAGGUAAGGGCUAUAUCUUCUUGAUGGAGGCCUCUGAUUUUUUAAAUCGCAUUUUCCUUUGUGAUUGAUAUAUCAUACCAAAGUCAAGUCUUAAAUACUGCUGUCAUAUGUUAAGGUUCAACUUCCAUUUUGAUUAACGUCGAUUUGCUACUGCUUCCAAAAGUGAGAAUGAGAUACUUUGGUUAAUUUCAGUAGUUGAACUCAAUAGAAUACUUUAUUUAGAUCUUCAUGGUUCAAAGGCCUGAAAAAGCUUGCCGGUAUUUGCAAAAUGACAUCUGUGCUUUUAUUUAGACUUAUUAUUAAAGACAACAUUUUAUUUCAGCCAAAAAUGUUUGUUUCAAUUAAAGACUUGAACCAUUUUCAUUUAACCUGAUUGUGAUGCUUUACAUUAUGCAUGUUCCUCUCAAUCAAUAAAAGUUGAGGUCAUGAUUUUAUAUUUCUAUUUUGUAACUUGAAAUAAUUGGUCUGCCUGUUUCUGUUGCUUGAUAACAUGAAUUUUUCCUUCUGAAGUUAAUUUGAUCAAUAAAGUAAUUCUUCGGAGAGGAUAUGCCCAUUCUAUAGUCAUUUUCUUAGCUAACAUGUUUUUUCUUCACUCUUCAGAGCAUGUCUAAACUAAUUGAUCGCUCAGCGGAGACUUUGGGUGAGAAGACAAAAUUUCUUGGUAAAUCCUCUGAAAAGGUAUGCAUAAUUCCCGAGUAUUAAAUAAUCAUUGGUCAUAAUUUUUGUACACGACUCUUUUUUUGGAGAUCGUUAAAAGUGGUUGAUGAUCUAUUUUGUAAUAUCAGAGAGGGAUCAUGAAUUCUUUUCUUUUCUGUGGCUAGGCAACACUUUCGAGCCAAGCUAAGGAAAUCUAUUUUAGGUAAUGUGAAAACCAGUUGUAGGAUGUAAUAGUUUAUUAUGCCCUGACAAUAACUUUUUGUAUAAUUGUCAGUUUAAUGAAUACAAGAGGAACUCUGUUGGCAAGUUCAUCCAUGAUAGAUGCUAAAAUUAUUUAUGCAUACCAGUUGCCUUAACUAAUUUUUCUCAACACUGGUAUUGAACAGGAAAAUGAAUAUGCAAUUUGUAUAUUGUGCCAUUGUGGAGAAUUUGGAUAUUCUUAUUUAAGUAACAAGGAGAGUAUUUGCCUCAUCUUUAAACAAUGAAUCUUUGAGAAAUGAGGAGUGGGUGAUUGGCAGUGUCUUCAUGUAAAUGUUCAUUUACUUGUAUUUUGAACUAUUAUGAGAAUCUUUGUAUGCCAAAUUAGUAAUACAAAUGUUCAGAUGAUUUUUCCUGUUGAUCAUGCGUGUGUAUCUGCACACAACCAUUGUGUACCACUUUAUUCUGAUGCACAAAUAUCUGUAGUUUAGAAGAAAAGAAAUAAUAAUCAUAUAUUAUUGCUUGGUUCAUGAUUAUUAAAUGAUUAUGGCUUUAGAAAAUCCACAAAUCCUUUGUGUUCAUUUAUGAAUGUGCGAAGUUCGCUAUAUCUUAGAUUACCUUCUUCCAAGAUAACAAGUUCAUAUAUUUUUUUUAAUCCUUUUUCAUCACAGUUGAAUUUCAAGUGUAAGUUUUGUUAUUAAUAGCUGGUUUCCUGUUAUUAUGAUUUCAUAAACAAUGAGAGGAUAUGUGCUCUACUUUUGGAGGGCCUCCACAUAAAAGAAAAUUGCAACAAUUGAAUUCUUCUGGAGGGUAUGGUAUUUAAUUUAUUUUCUCAGCUUGUUGUAAGACUAAUAUAUUUCCUUCAGUACGCACGGCAUGGUGGGAAGGGUUUUUAUUGAAAGAAUUAUGAUAUUUCUUAGACUUUGUUUUGGAAGGGGGUGGAGGGAUUUCUCAUCCAUAUAUGGUUACUUGAUUAGCUUUUGACUGUAUUGUCUCCGUCGUGCAAAGGAAAAUCCAAAUACUAACGAAGGGGAAUUGGUUAGGCACCCAAAGGACAGAAAUGAAUUACGGAAGGAAGUUUUUGCUGCUUUAUUUAGUGCUGCUGAGAAAUCUGAUGAAUUUCCUGAAAUUACGGUGAAGACGGAGUGGAGGUCCAACGCAUUAGGAAAGGUGGUGAGAGAACCGCCAGAGGAAUUAGUACCAGAAUACAAGGCUAAUGUGGUGCACUGGCAGCAAGAUGACCAGACCUGUAUGUGCUCUUAUAUUAACUAUAUUGGCUGGAUUUGUGAGUGUGUACAUUUUUGUGUGUAUACUCACUUUUGUAUUUAUGCAUAUUCACGUGUGUAGGAUUCUCGAUUUCUGCCACUUACUGGAGAACUAGUGGAAAGCUUUAUACUGAUAUAUGUGCUAUAUAACUAAUGGAAACUACAAUAUGAAUAUUUUCUCUCACCUGGAGAGCAGUGUAACUGAUAUAAUUUGUGGCUCUGGAAUACUGAAGAUUCUGCAAUAACUAAUGGAAAAUAUGAUAUGAAUAUUUUUUCUCACCUGGAGAACUUUGUAACAGAUACAUUUUGUGCUGGAAUGUCUAAAGAAUGCUUCAGUUUAGAUCAAAUAUCUUUUAGUUAGAAAAGAUAAAAUUCUCUGAAUCUGAAAGACUGAAACAUUUUGCAUAUUUCGUGAAAGGCAAGUAUCUGUAGAUACUAGCUCAUGCAUUGAGGUAAUAUCAAUGUUAAAGAAAAACAGCAAUAAUUUAUUAUACAGAAUUAGGUUCACUUGCUUUAAAUGCUGGUCUGAUCAACCAUAUCAACCUGUAAUGGUCCUGCAGAAAUAUAUAUACGGGGAGAAACUAGCUAAUUUUCCUUUCACUUAUGGGUUUGGUCUUUUUUUCCCCAAUUUUUCAGCUUUCCUUCUCCUGAAGUAUGUUAACAAUUGCAGAUAAUGGCGAAGAGGACCGCUUCCAGGCUACCGGCAAAAACUUUGUGAAAGCUUUGGAGUUAAACAGGGAAUUCACUUACUGCUAAGGACAAUUGGUGGCGAGCUAUUUCAUUCAUUUUAUGUCCAUACAUCUAUUUAAUUAUUAAAGAUAAUGUACGCAUUUGUAAAUUUCAGAUUGCGUGUCUCUGAAAAUAACAAUAUUUAAAAUGUCUCUUAAAUUAUUAUAAAUUUUAAUUUACUCUCGAUUUAAAAUGGAACAUGUUGGUGAAAUAUUUUUUCUUCUUAAUAAAAUUGAAAUAAAUUAUGUUAGCAGUAGUUUGAAAUAUUUUAAAGAUGAUUAUUUUAUAAGGGAGUAAUAUGAAAUGAAAUUUACUUUUCAUGCGUGAAAUGUUGAAAAAGGACAAAGCAAGUGUCCCUGCUUUUAUUUUAUUUCAAAGUGGAGUCAUCUCACAUACUUUAGCUCUAUCAUUAGGAGCCGGCUAAGUUACGUUAAACGUAACUUACGCCAGGCACAACAACAGUGACAAGUCCCAUCACUAGCACUGUUGCUGUGUUUGGCGUAAGUUACGUUUAACGUAACUUAGCCAAAGCCCUAUCAUUAAUAUAUAUUUAAAUUUAACACAUGCAUGUGGGUUACUUUUCCGUAAGUUCCUUAAUAUAUAUUUAACACAAAUCAUGGAAGAGAUGGGAGUAUAUCAAGAUGAUCAAAGCAUGAAACAAAAAUAUUUAAGAAGUAAAACACUGAAAAUGGAGAAGAGAUGCAAGCAAAAGAUAUUCUAAAGAAAAGCAAUCUAUCCCCUUUCGAGGGUAAACUUACCAGGUUUAAGAAAAGUACAUGCUUUGGAUUGGUAGUUGCAGCCUUGCAGGAUAAUUGUUUUUGCCACUAUAUUAGUUGGAGGAGUUGAACCCAGUGAAGAAUGUUAUGGAAGAGCAAAUGAUAUUUCUGAUAGACUCUAUUUGAUUAUGUAGCCUGAAUAGAUGUCUUGUUGAAAGAUAUAUCAGUGCAUUAGUUCAUCCUUGUCUGUCAAUGUGUUUUUAAUGGUUUUUCCAAUUGUUUAUUGCUAUAGAUUGAUUGUAAAUUGAUGUGAACUUAAUGUUGAAAUAUUUUCUCUUUAGUGAAAUGAAAGUUAAACAUUCAAUAUUAGAUUAUUCAAGGUCCACAUAGUAUGUGUUCCGUUGUGUUGUCUGUAAUUUUGCAUUUAAAUAAAUUUGAGUGCUGCCGUUUCGCUCCCACAAUCUCUCGCCUUUUUUUAAUUUUAAAAAUUAAAAUAUUAAUAAAAAACAAUAAAGAAAAUCGAAUCCUUUAUGUCAUUCCAUCUUUACAACUCUCUCUCACAAACUCCAUCUAACAGACUUCUCUCUUACUAUCUCGGUCGAACAAGACCAGUGACAAUGAUGACACGACCGCCGACGAUGAGAUGGUCAUCGCUAAAGAAUCGGGCCGUGUAUUUUACAAUUUCUUGGUUUGUGUUGGUGUAAGGAUUUGCAGGAGCAAUUACUGCCUAGCCAAGCCCUUGAAACUUUGGUCAAAAUUAUUGUUAUUAUUACUUUUAGAGGAAAAACUUUUAUUAAAACCUCAUUAACACAAUUCUUAAUUAAAAUUAUAAGUUUGUGUUGGUGUAAGGAUUUGCAGGAGCAAUUACUGCCUAGCCAAGUGUCAAAAGCACAAAAUAAAUCAAGAGAAAGUAGACAUGAAUUAGGAUCCAAUGAAAUUUAAAUCCCGGACAAAAGAAAUAAUCAUGCAGAUUAUCAAGAUUUCAAUAAGGGAUAUUGAUAUCCUAUUUUGAUUAAUAAUAUCCUUUUACUGUGUUAACUCAAAAAAUAUGUAUAUUCUAAUAUUUUACAAUAAAUAGAAAUCUAAUAUUAAAAUAAAUGUGAUAUAUAUAUAUAUAUAUAUAUAUAUAUAUAUAUAUAUAUAUAUAUAUAUAUAUAUAUAUAUAUAUAUAUAUAUAUUAAAUAAUUUAAAUAUAAAAAAUAUUUUAAUGUUUUACAAUCUACUACACAUAUUUUAUUAAGUUAAUAUAAUUUUUCAAAUAAAUAGGGACAUAAUAUUAAAAUAAAUUUAUAAAAAUUUAAAUUAUUUUGAAUUUAAAAUAAUUUUAAUAUUAUUAAUAUGUUAGAUAUGUUUGAUUAAUUAUAAAAAUUAUUUAAGCAAAUUUUUUUAAUAUUUUCAGUAGAUAUAAAUAUAUUACUUACAUUUUGAUUAUUUAACUAUUAUUAUUCUACAAUUAUUUAUAUAAUGUUUGCACUUAUUAGAAUAUAUUUAAAGUCAAAUCUUUUGCACUUCUACCUAGCUAGAAUUAUUGCACGCAGAGAAAUAAGCAUAUAUGCUUUAUAACUUUAGAAAUCGAAUUAUCUAUACAAAUUGAUUUUAGCUGGAAAAAAAGUGAGCUGAAUGAUAUAGGCGAUUAGUGUGGUAAUAUUUCAUAGAGUUAGACUAUUGAAUUUGGCACCCCUCCAAUCUUCUCAUGAUUACCUUUUUGAGUUAUUAAUACACUUCUAAUUUUUCGUUUAAUUUUUUUUAUUGUUAUACUCAAAGUAGUAUUGUGAUAUUUUAUAUUUCUUUUGCAAUCUUAUUAUUAUUUUACACAAAAAUUAAAAAGUUUUCUAGGUGAUGAACUUUUGAGUUUUGAACAUUAAUCAUUGGCUUAAAUUUCAUAUAUUUUACAUUAUAAUUUGAAAUUAAGUACGAAAAUAUUUAAUAAAUUAUGAAAAGAUUAACAUAUUAUUCUAAAUUGAUACAACUUAUUUUAGUUAAAUAAAAAGUAACAGGUAAAAAAAAAAAGGAUUGGUUAUGAAAUUUGUUGGAAAAAAAUAUGUGUGUGUUUAAUUUUUAUUUGUCCUUAAUUGUAAUUUAUUUGAAGUGAGGUUUUAUAAGGAUAAUGAAGGGGUGCCAUAGUUUCACUCUAUUUCAUAUGGAGAGAGAAGUAAAAGGUACACCUGAGGUUAAUGGAAAGGACUUCGAAAGUUUCUUUUGAUUAUAAUACUGUUUGUUCUAAUUAACUUAAAAAAUUUUACUUUAAUAUUUUAUAAUAAAUUAAAUUUUAAUCUUAAAAUAAGUAUAAUCAUAUAUUUUAAAAUAAUCUUAAAAUAAAUACAAUCAUAUAUUUUAAAAUAAUCUUAAAAUAAAUACAAUCAUAUAUUUUAAAAUAAUCUUUAUAUUUAAAAUUUAUUUAUUUGUACAUAUUUUAUAUAAAUUUUAUAAUAAAUAUAACACAUACUAUUAAAAUAAUAUAUAAAAAAUUAAAGUAUUUUGAAUAUUAUAUAAAAUAACUUUAAGAUUCUUAAUAUGUAAGAUAUAUUUUAUUAAUUUAAAAUUCUAUUUAAAAUUUUAUUAAUUUAAAAUUCUAUUUAACCCAAAGAUUUAUUUAAGAUAAAUUAAUAAUCAUAUUUUUUAAAUCAUUUCAAAUAUUAAAAAAUAUUUUGAUAUUACUAGUCUAUUAAAUAGAUUAAAUAUUUUUAUUAUUUUGUACUAAUCAAAAGUUACAGCUCGAAUGAUAUUAUGAGAAAACAGAAUUUUUAUGUCUUUAUUAAAAAUUUGGGUUUGUAUAAUUAUUUUUUCAAAUGUUAGGGGCAUAGCUGUCUUUUUACUUUUAUAUAUGUGAACCGCGGUGGUGAAAAAGUGUGAUUUAAUAUUUGUUAUUUAAAUAAUAUCUGAAUUAAAGAUGUACAGAGAAGAAAUUUCGGUGGGCAUUUUAGUCUUUUAACGAUUAUCAUGAUUAGGGAUUAGGUCCUGCUCUUGAAACGUUGGUCAGAAAAGUUCUAAAAUGCGUACAUUAUCUUUACUUUAAAAAAGUUAUUUUAUUUUAUUACAAAUUAAUGCCGACAAGAAAAAGCAAGAUCUUUAAAAUUCCACAAACGUAAUAUUCCGCAAAAGAUUAUUGCACACAGAGAAAUAAACAUAUAUACUUUAUAACUUUAGCAAUCGAUUCUUUUAGAGCUGGAAACAGAGAUGAUGAUUAUCAUAAAGAUGAAGAAAAGGGCAAAAAAAUAUUAAUGAUUAACGAAAUCUCUAUCCAAAUUGAUUUUAGCAGGAAAAAAGUGAGCUAAAUGAUGUAGACGAUUAGUGGUAAUAUUUCAUAGAGUUAGACUAUUGGCACCCUUCCAAUCUUCUCACGAAUCCUCUUUUUGAGUUAUAUUUAUUUUAUUUUUAAAAUAUCUUUUUUCUCUUUUACUACACUUCUAAUUUUUCAUUUAAUUUUUUUAUUGUUAAACUCAAAGUAGUAUUGUGAUAUUUUUAAUUUCUUUUGCAAUCUUAUUAUUACUCUGCAUAUAAAUUAAAAAGUUUUUUAGGUGAUGAAUUUUUGAAUGUUAAUCAUUAGCUUAAAUUUCACAUAUUUUACAUUACAAUUUGAAAUUUAAUAUGAAAAUAUUUAAUCAAUAAGAAUUAUGAAAAGAUUAAUAAAUUAUUCUAAAUUUAUACAACUUAUUUUAGUUAGAUCAGAAGUAGCAGGUUAACAAAAGAAAGGAUUGGUUAUGAAAUUUGUUGGAAAAAAAUCUAUGUGUGUUUAAUUUUUAUUCGCUGUUAACUCUAAUUAAGUAGGUUAAAUAUUUUUGUUAUUUUUUACUUAUCAAAAAAUUUAAGAUCAAUAUUUUUAGUUACCAUUCGAAGGAUAUUAUGACAAAAACAGAAUUUUCACGUCUUUGUUAAAAAUUUGGGGGUUUGUAUAACUAUUUUUUCAAAUGUUAGGGGCAUAUCUGUCUUUUUACUCUAUAUAUAUAAACCAUGGUGGUGAAAAAGCGUGAUUUAAUGUUAUUUAUUUAAAUAAUAUCUCAAUUAAAAAUGUAAGGAGAAGAAAUUUCGGUGGGCAUUUUAGUCUUUUAACGAUUAUCAUGUUUAGGCCCUGGUCUUGAAACGUUGGUCAGAAAAGUUCUAAAAUGCGUUCAUUUGUCUUUACGCCAACAAUAAAAAGCAAGAUCUUAAUGUUCCACAAAAGCAAAUCGUAAUAUUCCGCAAUGGAGUUAGAUCCGCAAAAGCAAACAAAUUCUUUUAUUAAACUACAAAUUAAAGUGGAAUCGUUUACUAAACAUCAAAUUAAAGUUCAAAUAUUUAAAUAGUAGUGCGUUAGACGAUUAGAGACUCUUAUUAAAGGCAAGUAUAAAGUAGUGAAGAAUCGAAUAUUUCUAUUGUCUAGUCUUUUUUUUUUUAAAUUUUUCUUCUAUUACUUUUCAAAAUAGUUUUUGGUGAUUAUAAUCGGGUUAUUAUUCAGAGUUAUUGUUAUCUUCCGGGGCAGUUUCUGUUCAUCGAAUUCGUUAAUAAAAUUUUAAAACUCUUAUUGAAAGAAUGUUUUUCCGUUAUCUUUUUUAUAAUCUAAUUUUAAGUGUAAGAAGUAGUCAUUUUAGAAUUUGGGUCUUGAAUCGAAUUUCAAUGCAUGAAUUAAUAUUUAAAAAAAAUUUACUACAUGCAGUUUAGGUUACAAACUAUUUUUUGCAAAGUUGACUAUGAAAUUGGAGAAAUUAAGUAAUUUAUAAUGUUUGCAAAGAAAGAGACUAACAUACUUCCAAUUACACUAUAUCUCAAUUAUCAUAAUGUUAAGAUUAAACUAACUUAAAAUAAAAUUUAUUUAAAAAGUUUAUCAAACGCAGUCUAAUUUUAUUAACUUGAAGAGAUAAUAGUUAUAGAAAUUAUUAUUCUAACUUGAUUAGUACAAGUGGUAUAAAGGUUAAGUGUGCACUAAAUCUAUUUAAAUUUUUUUCCAGUAUAACUAACAGAGGUCAUUACUAGAAUUAUAUUACUAGUCUAUUAGAUAGAAAAAAUUAUUUAUAUUGUUUUAUAUUUAUUAAAAAAAUUUAAAGUCAAUCUUUUUAAUUACUAUUUAAAGGAUAUUAUAAUUAAAAAAAUUUUAAUGUCUUCAUUAAAAAUUUAAAAAUUUAUAUGACCGUUAUCUAAAUAUUUAAAGUGUAACUGUCAUUUUCUCAUAUAUAUAUAAUUUCAUCUAACCCCUUAUACUUUAUGUUAUUUAUAUUUUAUUCAUGAAUAUUAUAAAUUUUUUGAAAUAUAAAAUUUCAUUUAACCCCUUAUACUCAAUUUUAUUUUAUUAAAACCCUAGAGUAUGAAUUCGCCCCUAUAAUAUUAAAUUCUCAAAAUAACCUCUAUUUAAUUAAAAAAUAUAAUUAUUGUUAAAUGAAUUAUAAUUAUUAUUAUUAUGUUAUUAUAAUCAUAAAAAGCGAGAUCAUAUUCCACAAAAGCAUAAGUGACAAAACAACCAACUGGAUUCUUUUAUUAAUCAACAAAUUGUAUAGUCUUUUUCAAAUUGUUAUAAAUUGGUGGCCCCUACAAUCCUCAAUAAUUGUACCGAUAUUCACAAGUUGGUGGCCCCUACAAUUCUGUUCCGAUAAUUUAACUGUGCAAGUGCUCAUUCACAAUCUUCCAGGUCAUGCUCUUAAUAAUUGUUUUUUCUUUUCUGCACUCCCUUUCAUGCUCUUAAUAAUUGAAGAGCAUACUUUUCAAAUGUGAAGCCGCAUCUAAUGUCGCUAAUUUAAUUUGGGAUUAAAUUACGGGACUAUUAUAUUGCAGUGUGCACUAAUUUUUAUGUUUAUCUAAACUCUUCAAAUUUAAAACAUAUUAUGGCAUAAAUAAGAAUGUAACAAUAACAAAAGAGUAAGAAAGUGUAGAGAAAAUCUUGCAGAAAUAUAAAUAAUAUUUAUUUUUAAAAUAAUAUUAAUAUUUAAAAUAAUUUUUAAUAUUUUAUGGUCCAUUAGAUAUAUUUUAUUAUAUUAAAAUAAAUUUUAUAAUAAAUAAAAACAUACUAUUAAAAUGAAUAUAUAGAAAAUUUAGAGUAUUUUAAGUAUUAUAUAAAAUAAUUUUAAUAAAAUAUGUGAGAUAUUCAUAUUUUAUUAAUUUAAGAUACCAUUUAACCUAAAGAUUUAUUUAUGAUAAAUUAAUAAUUAUAUUUUUGAAAUUACUUCAAAUAUUAAAAAAAAUUAAUAUUACUAAUAUAUUAGAUAGAUUAAAUUAUAUAUAUUAUUUUUACUUAUUAAAAAAAUUUUAAAAUUAUUUUUAAUUACUAUUCAAAAAACAUAUUCAAAAAACAUAAUGAUAAAAAAAUCUUAACAUCUUUAUUAAAAAAUUAAAAACUUAUAUGAUAAAUUCUCUAAAUAUUUACGGUAUAUGUGAACCACGGUGGAGAAGCUUUAUUUAAUAUUAUUGAUUUAAAUAAUAUGUCAAUUAAAAAUGUACAGAGAAGAAAUUUCGGUGGGUAUUUUAGUCUUUUAAGCAAUUAUCAUGAUCAGAUCAGCCUUUAGCCUUCAAACGUCGGUCAUAAAAGUUUUAAAAUUAAUGCUAAAUUGUUUUUCACUUUUAACGUUGGUGGCCUUGAAAUUGCUUGUAUUUUAUUAAAAAUUAAUGCUAACAAGAAAAAGCUAGGUCAUAUUCCACAAAAUCAAAAGUGACAAAACAACCAGCUGGUUUCUUUUACUAAACUACAAAUUAAAAUAAAUUUUUUCGAUAAAUUACAAAUUAAAGUGGAUUCUUUUGAAUACAAAUAGGACAGACGAUUAGGCUCUUUUUAUUAGAGGCAAGUAAAAACUAGUCAAGAAUCGAACAGUCUUUUUCCAAUUCUUGUUUUAUUAUUUUUCAAAACUAGUUUUUGGUAAUUACAACCGGGUCAUUAAUCAUUAUUCAGAGUUACUGUUAGUCUAUUAUCUUCGGGGGCAGUGGGUAAAAGAUAAUUACUAACUGUUUUUCCUUCAAAAGUUAGCGGCUCAUGUUUGCAAGUGUGAAUGUGCGAUGCUCUUUUCUUAAAGGCCAUUACAGUGGGGCCCGAAUCAGACGUGCCUAAAUCUUUUUAAAAUUUUUGCCGUAUAACGAACAGAGGUCAUUACUAAAAUUUCUCUUCCACAGCCUACAGCAGCUUCAGUUUAUCAAACUCCAUCAAUUUUCUUUCUUAACAAAAUUCCAAAGAUGUGUAGCAUUUUUCAGAUCACAUGCGACGGUGCUCUUUUCAAUCGUUGCUUGGAUUGCUUUCUUGGAAAAGCAGCAUACAUACGUAACCUCCAAGAUAAUCUUGUAGCCUUGGAGACUGAAUUGGGAAAUCUAAUCGCAAUAAAGAACGAUCUGAUGAGGAGGGUUGACGAUGAUGAACGGAAACAAAUGAUAAGGCUGGAAAGAGUGCAACGGUGGAUUUCGAGGGUGGAUGCUGUUAAAACUGAAGCUGAUCAAUUUAUAGGAGACCGCUCUCAAGAAAUUGAAAAAUUAUGUGUUGGAGGCUACUGUUCCAAGAACUGCAGGUCAAGCUACAAGUUCGGAAAACAAGUGGCUAAAAAGCUACAAGAUGUGAAGACUUUAAUCGCCGAGGGAGUUUUUGAGGCGGUGGCUACUGAGGUGGUGGCUGAGAGAGCUCCGGAACCUGUAGCAGAUAAAAGACCCAUUGAGCCAACAAUAGUAGGCUUGCAAUCACAGCUUGAACAAGUUUGGAGAUGUCUUGUAGAAGAAUCAGUGGGAAUCAUUGGCCUAUAUGGUAUGGGUGGUGUUGGUAAAACCACACUAUUGACCCGUAUCAACAAUAAAUUUCUUGAGAGUCAAAACAACUUUGAUUGUGUGAUUUGGGUCGUAGUUUCAAAAGACCUGCGGCUUGAAAAAAUUCAAGACGAUAUUGGGAAGAAGAUAGGUCUGUCUGAUGAUUCAUGGAAGAAUAAAAGUUUUGAAGAGAAAGCUGUGGACAUCCUGCGGAGAUUAGGAGAGAAGAGAUUUGUAUUGUUGUUAGAUGAUUUAUGGGAGCGGGUUGAUUUAACAAAAGUGGGCGUUCCACUUCCCAGCGCACAAAAUACUACCUCAAAAGUCGUAUUCACAACCCGUUCCAUUGGUGUUUGUGGCAGCAUGAGAGCUAGGCCGGUUAAAGUGGCAUGCCUAUCAGAAAAGCAAGCUUGGGAACUGUUCCGCGAAAAUGUUGGGGAAGAAACUCUUGAGAGUGAUCAUGAGAUCGUUGAGCUAGCCCAAACUGUGGCCAAAGAGUGUGGUGGUUUGCCACUCGCACUUAUUACUAUUGGUCGAGCUAUGGCCUUCAAAAAGACAGCCGAGGAGUGGAGUCAUGCAAUUGAUGUGCUAAGAACAUCAGCUUCUGAGUUUGCAGGUUUGGGAGAGAAGGUGUAUCGUCUUUUAAAGUUUAGCUAUGAUAGUUUGCAGAAUGAGACCAUUAGAUCUUGUUUCUUAUAUUGUUGUUUAUAUCCCGAGGAUUAUGGCAUUCUUAAAUGGGACUUGAUUGAUUGUUGGAUUGGUGAGGGAUUCUUGGAGGAAUCUGACAGGUUUAGUGCAGAAAACCAAGGAUACUACAUUGUGGGCACUCUUGUUCAUGCGUGUUUGCUAGAAGAGAUGGAAGAUGAUAAAGUAAAAAUGCAUGACGUUGUUCGUGAUAUGGCUUUAUGGAUAGCUUGUGAAAUUGAGAAGGAGAAGAGAAACUUUUUGGUUUGUGCAGGUGCUCGAUUAGAAGAGGCACCGGGUGUUAAAGAAUGGGAAAAUGUGAGAAGAUUGUCAUUGAUGCAAAACCAAAUUGAAACUGUGUCAGAGAUUCCCGCAUGCCCUCAUCUCCAUACUCUAUUUCUUGCCUCUAAUAGGAAUUUCAGGAUGAUCACGGAUGGCUUCUUUCAAUUUAUGCCUUCUCUCAAAGUUUUGAAGAUGUCACGCUGUGGGCAAUUCGAAGGUUUUCAAUUACCUGUUGGGAUGUCAGAGUUGGGUUCAUCACUAGAACUUCUUGAUAUUUCACAUACCACCAUAAGAGAGUUACCCGAAGAGUUAAAGUUGCUGGUAAAUCUGAAAUGUUUGAAUUUGAGGUGGACAGGUGCGUUAAUUAGAAUUCCACGGGGACUAAUAUCAAAAUUUUCAAGGUUACGUGUGUUGAGAAUGUUGGGUACUGGCGGGUUCAUUUUUUAUGAAGCACCAGAAGACAGCGUUUUAUUUGGUGGGGGUGAAGUUUUGAUACAGGAAUUGCUCGGUUUGAAAUAUUUAGAGGUAUUGGAGUUGACCUUGGGAAGUUAUCAUGCUCUCCAAAUUGUUUUGAGCUCAAAUAAGUUAAAAAGUUGUAUUCGAUCUCUUUACCUCUAUUUGACCGGAGAUAAAAAGUCGAUUAUUGAUGCUACGGCUUUCACAGACCUAAACCACCUCAAUGAAUUAUGGAUUGAUAAUGGAAUUGAGUUGGAAGAAUUGAAGAUUGAUUAUACGGAGAUAGUACGAAAAAGGCGGGAACCUUUUGUUUUCCACAGCCUUCACCUUGUUACGAUAUAUAGUUGCCAUAAAUUGAAAGAUUCGACAUUCCUCGCUUUUGCUCCAAACCUCAAGUCUCUUUCGCUAUUCAAAUGCCGUGCUAUGGAAGAAAUAAUCAGCGUCGGAAAAAUUGCUGAGAAUCCUGAGAUGAUGGGACAUAUAAGCCCUUUUGAAAAUCUCAAAAGUCUUGAUCUAUCAUAUUUGCCGGAGUUGAAGAGCAUUUUCUGGAAGCCAUUGCCUUUCACUCAUCUCAAAGAAAUGGGGGUAAGAGCAUGUGAUCAGCUUAGAAAGCUUCCACUCGAUUCCAACAGUGCAAAAGAGCGUAAAUUUGUAAUUCGUGGAGAAGAAGACUGGUGGAACCGACUUCAAUGGGAGGAUGAAGCCACUCAAAUUGCUUUUCGUUCCUGUUUCCAACCUGAUUCCUGAGCGGUGGUCGCAAAAUUUGAUUUCUGGUGAGUGCGUUUGUCUUUUAAAAGAAGAAUUUAAAAGAAAUUUAUUCUUGACGUUUUCUUCACUGUUUUUAUUUCAGUCUCUCUCUCUCUCUUUUUGUCUUCUGCUAAUCACAAUUAAAUGUUGAAUUAAUGGAAUUAAUGCUUCAUAAAUUUGCCGGCACUGCCAUUACUUUUUUUUUUUUAAUACAAAUUGAUACUUUAUUUAUAUCUUCUUAGCGAUUUAAUUUCCUGUCAAUUGACGAACGAGAAGAACAUAUGACUUAAACCAAUGCUCGCAUAAACUUGCUGUAAAAAGAUAUAAUCUCACUGAAAUGCACACGCCUAGAAUGAAAAGAAUUAAAAUAGGGAAAAUAUUAAGUAUAUUAGCCCUCUUUACCGAAAAUCAAAUGACAAUAAAUUUUUUGAAGUUUUGAUUUUCUAUGGUCAAUUCCACCUUUUGCAAUUUCUUCUGUUCUAACAAAAACCAAUUUCUUCUGUUCUAACAAAAACCAAUUUCUUUGUUCAAGUAUUUUCGUUUGGGUAUUAAUAAUUCUCCACCGAAAGAGUGAACUCUUGCUCAAGGGAUCUCUAAUCAAUAGCCGGAAGGGCGCCGAGACCUGAUCGGACCUAGGCCCAAGUUUGGUCUUAAACCCUGGGCUUGAGCCUGGCAAUUAAAUUAAAACAUUAAUUGAUUUCUUGAUUGAAUUGUCGUGUAAUUGAUUUAUGGGGGAUGACACAUCAACAUACUUGAAAAUACACUAAUCUCAGCAUCAUCGGUUAAUAACUUUUAGAUUUAUGGGUAAUCAAUAGUUAAGAUUAGUUAUCAUUAAUACUAAAUAAUUUUUACUUUUUUUUGUCUCUUCUAGAGGAUCUUCUAGAAAAAUGCAUCCACAAUUAAAUUUAAUACUUUACAUAAUAAACAAAGCAUAAAUGUUAAAUUUAAGAAACUGCAUUGUAUUUCAGCUGAAGUUGACUUUAAUAUUUAGGGUAGAAAAAAUUAAAUCCUUAAUGUGUUUAAUUUGUAUCACUUGUGUCAUUAAGAUUUUCUAGUCACCCUAACCAAUUACAUCUCAACCCACUUUUUUUUGGAUGAUUUUAUUUUUACACUAUUAUUUUCAACAUUUUUUUUCCUUUUAACACCAACAUUAGUGUAUGUUACGUAACAUAAUUCAUAUUUGGAUAAUUUGAAAUUUGUUUGUGUUUUAUCUCAAAAUAGAGCUUCAAUCAAUUUGUACCUCAUAAAUUCACAAUAUCUAUGAGGGCUAAUAAGACCAAACUCUGGCAUAUUGUCAAAUGUGCUUAUCCUUUUGCUUGACAUGUCAUUUUAAAAUUGUCAUUCAAUGCCAAAAAAUCACAUCAACUAAUGGCCGACUACUUUAAUUUGAAAGCAUGCAUGCGAUCGCCAAUAAUUAUAACUUAAUUGUUAUUUUGAAAUUUUUUUCUUUAUAAUUUUUAAGUUUAAUACUACUACAUGUGCAGCACAUAAGUUGGAAAAUAUAACAUAAAAUUUGAAAAAUGUGUAGCUUUCGUUCCUUUUUUUUCUUAAAAAUGGGAAAAAAGAAUGUAGUUUUGUUUAAAUUACUGUUGUGAUUACAAUUAUUAUUUUAUUGAUUAAUUGGCAGAGAAUCGUAAUGGUUUUGCAUGGUUGUUAAAACAUUGGAAAAUCCACUACAUCAUCCGUUAAUAACUUUCAGAUUUAUGAUUAAUCAAUAGUUGAGAUUUGUUAUCAUUAAUGCUAAAUAUUUUUUUAAUAUUUUCUCUCUCUCUUAGAGGAUCAUCCAAAGUAAAAAUUUAAUAUUAUAAAUAGUAAACAAAGUAUCAACGUUAAAUCGAAGAAACUGCAUUGCAUUUCAACUGAAGCUAACUUUAAUAUUUAAUGGAGAAAAGUAAUUAAGUCCUUAAUGUGCUUUAUUUACCCAUAUAUAUGGCUAAUUUUUUAAGAUAAAGGGGAAGGAUGAUGCUCAAAAAUAUAAAUUAUAGAAUUAGUUGAACUCUCAAGUAAGUUUAAAGUUCAUUAUUUUUAAUUACAUAUUUAUAAUUUAUUUUAUUUCGUAUUAAUCUAUAGAUCUAAAUCCACUUUGGAUUCAUAUACAUAUAUAGACAUAAUGUGUAUGUUAAUCUAUAGGUCUAAAUUCACUUUAGGUCUAUAUGGGUAUUUUGACAAAUGUACUCCAAUCAUGCAUAUUGGUAAAUUCUAACUACUAUAUUGGUAUGUCAAUAUUAUCUCUAAUUGCCCUAUACAUUCAGAAAUAAUCUAGAUAUACAAAUUAACAUAAAAUAAAAAUAAUUGGUAGAAAAUACAAAUUAUAAACAUGUAAUUAAAAAUGAUAAACUUUAAAUUUACUUAAGAGAGUAAUUAAUUUCAUAGUUAAAAUCUUUAAAUUUUACCCCUCAUCUUAACUUAAGAAAAUUAAUCACUUAUUUUAUUUAACAAAGAAGAGAAUUUUUUUUCCCCCUAUAUUUUCCAAUUAUUUCUCUCCCUCUCGCUCCCGUAAGUUAUACAACUUGAAGUGAAAUAUGAGUGGUCUGAUUCUAGCUUAAAUAAUUUAUUGUGACAUGCUAUCUAAGGACAAUACAUUACCUAGCUCUACAUAUUUUAUUUAACCUCUGGCUCACCCUGUGCAAACUUGCCUUUCCCCUGCAAGACAAGAUUAAUCAAUGUAUCAAGUCUCAAAUUCAAUUUGGAAUAUGACCAUCGUACGCUCUUGUUCUUCCCUCUUUACGAGUGCAUUCCCCCAACCUCAAGCUCCCUCUCUCGUCUUCAAUGUCACUGCUUAUAUCCUUAUGUUGUUCUAGUUUGAAAUAGUGGCUUCCACUAUUUCAGGGCCCCCAAAAAUCCAGAAACAUACUAUUCAUCACGAUGACAAAAUUUUUGGCAGGCAGGUGCUUCCUGACUUUCACACGGUAAUUCUCAAAUUCUGAUUUCACCAUAUUUUAAUUACUGAUUAGCAUAUAUUCAAGUGCUCUCCAUUAUAAUAGAAGCCGCCGCCUCACUCGUGAUUCCAAACUUUAUCUUUUUGCCUUUUUUAAAUUAAUGCAAGUAGCCGCUGUCCUUUUUAUUAAUUAAUUAGUUCGGCCGCCCACAUUUCUUUUCCUAAUGUCUUCUACUGUCGAUUUUCUUUUAUUUUCUCUUUAUUCUUAAAAUAUACUUAUAAUAAUAAAAUAUAAAAAUAAAAAUUAACAUAUCAAAAUAUAAUUUAAUAGAAAAUUAAGAUAAAAAAUAAAAAAAUUAUGAGCAUAUCAAUCAAUAAAUGAAAAAUAAUAAUUUUUAUUUUUAUUAAAUAUAUAUUUUUUAAAAUUAAUCAAUUAUCUGAAUAAAUAAAAUCAUUUAAAAAUAAAUAAAUAAAUUAUUCUUAAAAAAAAAAAAAGAAACUUUUUAUAACACUCACUAUGCUGGUUGUAGGGUAGACGCUUUGGGGACUGAAGCUGGUAACUUCUACAAGUAGUCUUAAGUUGACUGGCAACAACUAUAUUGGCAUUUAGACAUAAUGUACUGCAACCAUAUUGGUAUGUUCAAAUGUUCUUACUAUUGUAUUGGUGUGUCAAUAUUAUCUCUAACUGCCUUAUAGAUUAAAAAAAAUCUAAAUUUACAAUUUAACAUAAAUAAAAUAAUUGGUAAAAAAACAAUUAUGGUUUAUUUACUUAUCAGUAAUCAGAAUAGACUGAAAUCGAAAUGAGCUGUAUUACCGUUAAUGUGUUUAUGUUGUCCUUGAAUCGGAAUGAAUUAUUUUAAGUUACUAAAAUAUCAUUGGUUUGUUAUUCUAAUUAUUAUUAUUUAAUAUUUAUUAUAAUAUUUGUCAUAUCAUUAAAAAGAAAUAAUAAUGAUGAUAAUAUUAUCAUUAUUGUUUGUUACAUUAUUAUUAUUCAAAAAAAUUAUUGUUAAUAACAAUAAUUACUUUAUUUCAAUAAUAAUAAUGAUGAAAUUAAUAAUAACAAACAUGACAACAACAAUAAUUAUUUAUUAUGCCAAAAAUAACAAUAAUAAUAAGAAUAAUAAUCAUCAUCAUUUUUUUCCCAAAGAAGCAUUAUCAUCAUCAUUUAAAAAAAAAAUCAUCAUCAUCAUUUUUGUAGUUACUGUUUCAAUUUAGGAAGAAGCUGUUUCGUUGUGCUAACGAUGGGAGAUGUUGUGGCUGCGAUUCGGGGAGCUACUAGUUUAUUGCACUAAUGACGACAGGUGCGGCUGCUUGAUGCGAGGUCCAUGGCCAGUUGUCAGCAGUUCGACUUUGGUAUGGGCGUUGCUGGUUCGAUUUUAGGUGUUGUCUAAUUUCAUUUUCAGGAUUUUAAUUUUAAUUUUUUUUUAUAUUUUCAUUAAUUAAUCAGUGCAAAGUUUGAUUUUAGAAUUUGGAAUGAAGGUAAUUUUGUUAAUCAUGGAAAUGAGAUUCUGAUUGUCGAGAAUGAACUUACAAAAUUAGCUGCAAAUUAAGUGAAAACAAAACGCUUUUUCUCUUUGUGUGAUUAAAACAUGAAAUGUACCAUAAAUAAAUAGGUAAAAAAUAAAUCAACACAAUUCAAAAUAGAAAACCAAUUACAAGAGGCACAAAUUUUUAUGUGAAAUACCGAAAAUGAAAAAAAACUAUAGCAUCCUAGUCUAAUAUAAUCUUCUACUAUAUUAAUGGGAUUACAGCACAAAUUCUUCCCUAUCUAACACUAGAGAUUAACAAUAUCAAAAAUCUCAAUAAUCUUAACUUACAAUACAACCUAAUAUAUGUCUCUCUAAUAAGUAGAUAUCUAAAAUAACAGUCUCUAAUAAGUAGGUAUCUCAAAUAAUAGUUAAUAAGAGGAUAAAACAAAAAUUAAGAUUAGUAGAAUGUGUAUAAGGCGAUGCUAUCAACUUAUCUUCUAAAUUUGAGAAAAAUAGUUAAAUUCACUUUUUCGAUUGUACGACCAAAGAUGGAAACCCUUGCCCCAAAACCAAAGGAAUCACCAUUGUGUUUUUUUUCUCUCUUUCUCUUUCUCGUUCUUCUCUUCUACUUUUCUUAAUGUUAGCCGCCACUUGCUUUUAUUCUUUAUAGCAUUUAAAAAGCUACUUUUAAUGGUAAAUUCAUCUAAGUCCAAAACUUAGUGAUAAUUGCACACCAAACAAUCCUUUUUGGACUAUGGACUUUUGGGCCUCCAAAUGAGAUGAAUACAACAAAUCUCCCCCUUCAGAUUAUGUGGGGGGCACCACAAGCCCGCUCUCUGCAUAUAGCUUUUCAGCUUCUCCUUGAAUAAUGACUUUGUCAUCAUACAUAACCCAUUCUUCGUUGUGUAAAUCUUCUCAAGCUAUAACUGUUCUUUCUCAAGCACGUCUCAUAUCUAAUGAUAUCUCACAUCAAUUUACUUAGAUUUCGAAUGGUAUAUCAAAUUCUUUGAACGGCACUCUGACUGUCGCAGUACAUAACAUAGUUGUCUCAUUUUAUAUCCAGCUCUUGUAGGAAAUUCUUCGUCCACAAUAUUUUUUUGCAACCUUCAAUAAUUGUAAUAUCAUUUGCUUUAGUGGUAGAAAAGGCAACUUAUUACUAAAGUUUAGAUUGCGAUGAGCUCCCCCUGCAAAAGUGAGCAAACAUCCUAGUACGAAUUUUUCGGAAUCAACAUCUCCUGCCAUAUCUAUACACUUGUAACACAGGUUUGUCACCACCAAAAUAUAAACAUGCUCUGGAAAUGCCUUUAAGAUAUCUGAGAAAUUUUCACUGUUGUCCAGUGCUCUUUACCGGGAUUGAAGAGAAACCACUGACUACACUAGCUGUAUAAGCAAUAUCUGGUCUUGUACAAAUUAUGGCAUACAAUAAACUGCCAACUGCUGAAGCAUAAGGAACUCCUCUCAUGGAGAAAUGGGUUUUGCUCUUGAGAAUUUUGGGAACAUAAAGAAUAAAGAUGUAAUUUCUUGGACUGCCAUUGUUUCGAGGUAUAUAAACAGAAGACAAGUCGAUAUAGCUUGACAAUGUUUUGAUCAGAUGCCAGAACGAGAUUAUGUCUUAUGGACUGCCAUGAUUGAUGGGUACCUUCGAGUGAAUAGGUUCAAAGAGGCUUUGACGCUUUUUCAGGAGAUGCAAACUUCAAAUAUAAUGGGAGACAAGUUUACCAUUGUUAGCAUUCUUACAGCUCGUGCCAAUCUGGGGGCACUAGAUCUGGGAGAAUGGAUAAAGACUUAUAUUGACAAAAACAAAGUCAAGAAUGAUAUAUUUGCGGGGAAUGCUUUGAUAGACAUGUACUGUAAAAGAGGAGAUGUUGAGAAAGCUCAAAAGGUAUUCAGGAAGAUGCUUUGAAAGGACAAAUUCUCAUGGACGACCAUGACUGUUGGCCUUGCCAUCAGUGGCAAUGGUGAUAAAGCUCUUGAUAUGUUUUCCCAAAUGCUUAGGGCUUCGAUCAAACCGGAUGAGGUAGCUUAUGUUGGUGUUCUGUCUGCCUGUUCUCACAAUGGUAACGAAACUUUUGUGAUAAAUAGUUGCAACUUAAGGUGAGAAUUGGAGGAAAGGAAAUAGACUGAAGUUGUUCAAUCAUCAGUGGUUGCUAUUUGGUUUUAAGUUGUUCAAUUAUCGGUCGUCUCUAUUUGGUUUUCUCCAAUAUCUCAUCUUCAGUUUUGACUCAGAUUCUAUCUUACCACUAUUGUUCUGUUCAUUCUAUUUGUUUCCUACAAAAUAUUUCUCCUGCCUAAAAUUUUUUGAAUCAGUAAGUUUUUAUCUUAUGCAAGAAUUGUGCUGAGAGUAAUUCCAUUUCUCAGUCUCGUUAUGUUUCAAUGAAGACGUAAAACUUGUGUUCUAGUGCACCAAUGUUUAUGCUUCUUACAAUUUGACUUUAAUUUACUUUGUAAAACUUUUGUCAAAAAGUACUAAAAAGUAGUGCACCAAACACCAACUUUAUUAUAGAGAGGACUUUAGUUAAAUUUUAAGAAAACACUCAAAAGAAAGAGUUAUAAUUUAUUAUAGAAAUAUUUCACAUAAAUAAAAGCCAUCCCAUGCUGCAAAGAUCUUGCUAUAAUCACCAAAAACUAUCGGGAGCUUUUAGGGUUUCCAUAAAAAUGUCAUUUCGUUCCAAAAGUCAAUGGUGGGUAGAAAGUGGUGCAAAUGAGACUCAUUCUUAAUGGUAUAAGUUUUUGCUUAAUUAUGUCUUCCCCAAGAUGAUGAUUUAAUUUCCAUUCUCAAUUAAUUUUCAAGUUUCAACACUUUUCUAUGUAGCAUGACAUUGGAAAGAUCUUGUACAGUUGUACUACUAAAAGCUAGCAUCACACGUUAGUUAUUGUUAAGUUCUGUUUCAACGUGAAAUAAAGGAAGUAGUCCUUCAUUAAAACCAUUAUAGCCAAAUUUCACCUAAUUGGACACUUACAGACUUUCAUUUCAAGUUGGAUUUGGGUCCAACGUUUCAAAGUUUGGCCCAAUUAUUUUUGUCCGGUCAAGUCCUACGCAGCUAAGCCUCUCAAUGAAUGAGGGUGAGAUUGCUAAAAAUUACGACAGGUGAUAUUUUAUUAUUAUUAUUAUUAUUAUUUUUGGGGGAUAAAUCCUCACCAAAGUGAGGAGAUUUUAUCAAAAUCAAAAUAAAAAUAUAACAAGAACUGAAAGUCGGGCAGCCUAAAAGCUAGAUGAACUAAAAGUCAGGCGCCUAAAAACAACCUUAUGCAAAAGAGAAGCAAUAUGAGACCGAUCAAGUAAAAGAAUCCACCGCAACACCUAAAUUGGCCAAAUUAUCUGUUGGUAUUACAAGUUUCUUGUUAUAAAAGUGUAGAAUGAAGUAGGUGACGUAGUUUUAAGUUACAGCUGCAUGCCCAAUCGCAAUAUCAAAUAAUGCUUAAAUAUCAAAUAAUGCUUAAAGUAGUUGCCUAGGCCCGCCACAACUUAUAUUAACUCUUAAAUUUAUAAAUAAUUAAAUUUUUAAAAGUUUGGAUUUAUAUUAAAAAAUCUUCAUAUAAAUAAAUAAUAUAUGCACUUUUACAACAGUCUUUAAAUUUAAAUUUUUCAAAAAAAAUCUUCUGUAUAUCUUUUCUAUUAAAAAAAUUUCCAUAUAAAUAAAUAAUAUACCUAAUUUAAUUGGACCGAGCACAACGCACAUGCAUAGAACACAUUCCGAAAAGCCAUGCUAUUCAGAAAUUGACGAAUGAAAAGUGAGGAGGCAGCAGUCAAUGCUAUUUCGGCUUGGCCCAAAAUUGAUUUAUCAGUUUGACGUGUGCCAGGAAUGAAGAACUGGAAUAUCACCGUCAAGCAGCACCCUGUGGAGCAAUACCAUAGAAUGCACAAUCUGGCUUUGCCAGGUGACACUGGAGGCUUUUUGAAAAGUGCUUCAAAAAGCCUUUUCUGAUCGAGUCUGAGCACUCAAAUUUUGGUCCUCAGAUGGAGCUACAGCUUUCUCUCCAAUAACCAACAAUUUUCUAAACUCAGCUCCUAGUGUGAUGAGAGUUGUUGAUAUUUGUAAAUGGAGAUCCCCGUAUUUGCAAAUGGAGACAUUUACCAAAUCACCAACAUGCUUCAUCCAGUCUAUGAAAUUCUGCAGCUGAUUCAAAUCCGGAACCUGAACCAGAGUCGGAGGUAAAUCUUGAGCCAUAUCUAAAGCGGUCUGAAGUUCAAGUACUUGAGCCCUUGACAAUGGUUUUGAAAUUGGAACAUCUUGGAUUACUGCAGACUUGUACCUCUUGGUUUCAAAGGUAAGGAAAGGCAUUGCUUGAGUACAAUUUGGAGGCAGCUUCUUCACCAAUUUUAUUUGGAGGCAAUUGGCAGCGGAUCCAGCUGCACCAAUUUCAGAGCAAAUACUGACACUACUUCAAACAGCACGCUGAAGAAGAGAUAUGUCUAUGGCAAAGACAAUGCAGUCCUCAUUUUGACUUGAGAUGCGGUAAUCAUCAAAGAGAGUUUCCUUGUGAAACUGGGCAACACAUUGAAUCCCUUCACCACUGAGAAGGUUGUGGAGGAAGCAAGCUUUCUCUCUAGUAAGGAAGAGGUGGCAUACCUUCCCCAUUUUGUCUAGGACAGGUAGGAAUCUUUUUUCUAAGAGAUUUACUCCAUUCUCUGUGAGAAAUGCUUUGAACUUCAUCCCUCUGUCUCUAUCCUCACUUAUCAGUAAAAUAGUUGAAAGCGCUACAAGGAGAGAAAAGAAGAGUAUUAAGAUAUAUAUAGACAAGAAAAACAUUAGAUGUCGAUCUUACAAGCUAAUACUUCAAACAGUAUCCUAGAAAGCUAAAAACUGCAAAAUGGCUUGAAAUUUGAAAAGAACACAUGCUUUUCCUCCUUAACUUGAGAAAAUGUUUAAUAUAGUGCACCUUACAGAAACAUUUAAGCAAUUAGAACUUUGCACAAAAACAUUCAAGAAGACUAAACAAAUCAGAUGCAGUGUAUUUCUCCAAGCACAAAUGGCAUUGCAUUUUCUCCUCAACUGUAAUAUUUAUUGAUGAAAAUCAGUACAGGUCCCUCAUUUGUUAUGGAAAGCUUUCUUGUAGUCUGACCGGUUAAUUCACGGGUCUAUAAUCAUCUUGCAAAGUUACAGGCAUUUCUUUCGAUUUAAAGUCUUUGCAUCACCACCUCAUCACACACCAAGCCAAUAUUCCGUCUACCUCUACAACAAAAAGUUUUAAGUAAACGAUCCUAAUGCAUGCAGCCAAAUAAAAUGCAGUAAGAAUAUUCAACUUAAAACUCUGAAAGCCAUCUUGGUGAAUUGCCUCCUUAGGGGAAGUUCCAUGCUUUACUAUACUUGACAGGACUGAGCAAAAGCUUCCAUACGACAGAUUUUGACAAUAAUGAUGCCAACAGAUCCUCAUUAAAUCCAUUAAAACUCCAAAGGUUCAUUGUUCAUGGAUGUUUACAGAGUUUUGGUCAUCAAAUAGCUCAGACCACAAUCCCAAACAAAAAAGGAGUGAAAAUUAGAUCACCAGCAGCUAAUUGUAAAUUCUAACUUAACUCUUCAUCUCCUUUGUAAACAGGAGACAAAAUGGAGACACGCAAAAUGAAUAAGGAGAACAUUUGAACUCAAAUGAAAUGAGGGCACGAAAUCAAACAAAUGGCAUGCGCAAACAAACCAAGCCUCAAUCAAAAACUAAAUAACCAUUAAGAAAAAAAAACUGGUCAGAGAAUGAACUCCAAAUUCGGGAGUGAAGCAAGAAGCUUUCAUUAUUUCAGAAGCUCCUGUACAAAUUAAUAAGUUAUGCUCUUUGGAAACAAACCUAAAUUCCAAGAGAAACAGAACUCAAAAAAUUUGCAAUUAUACGCAAAGGAAGCGAAGCACAGCAUUCUAUCACACGUACAAAUUGUAUAACAAGAGAUCGACACAUCGAAUCAGAAGAAUUCAAUUCAAAUUUGUCUCAAAAAUCAAAAUUAGAAGAUUUCACAUUUCGAGAGGAACAAGCGACAGGUCAGAUGCACAAUUUUCAACCACAACAUGCCACAAUUAACGGUUUAUUUCCAUGGAUUUAGAGAGCUGACUGACCUUUUGGCUUUUGGAAUUGAGAAGAACGCGCGCCAAAAUGGAAGAGGGAAAGCGAAAGUGCGGGUUUCAAUAGGGUAUUGGAUUAGCAAAUUUUAUUAGUUUGCGAGGGUAAAAUAGGAAAGAUAUAUCACUAUUAACUUUUUUUUUUAUAAGAAAAAAGAAUAAUAAAGAAUAUUUUAUUGUCAUUUGCAGCAUUUAAUUUUUUUUAAAUGCUAUUAGAAAAAAACGACAAUAAAGAAAUGCUCUUUUUUUAUUUUUUUCUCGAAGGUAAAAUCAAUUAUUUAGCGUCUUAUAUGUAAUCUAACUCCAUUUCUUACUUUAAGUCAUAUCCAACUGACCAAUAAAGUAAUUGUUUUUUUUUUUUCAUUCAUUUUUACAGAAAAUUAAUAUUGAAAGCUAUUGUAAAAAUUUUUAUUAUCAACCUCAUAGUUUAAUUUUUUUGGGGAAGAAUUGAAUUUUUUUUUUAAUUUCCAAGAAUUUCAUUCUCUAGUUUUUCCAUUAAUAUUACUUAUCUUGAUACCCAUCUUAAUUAAAAUCUGUAGUUUUAUUCAAGAGUCAUGCUAUUCAUUCACUCACAGACCAAAGGCUUUCCGCAGCAAUAUUAUUAUUUAAAUUACAACAAAGGGGAAAUCAAAUACGUCAUACAGAAGCUUAAAGCUGAAUCUACAAAAUCUAGAGCUCUCAACUACAAAAAUUACACUUGAUGAUCCUCUACAAGAUGAAGCUUGUUCAAUAUCUCAUCCAAAGCUUGUAAAGUAACCUUGUAACGAUCUUGAGAUUGCCUGCCUUCCUCGACGACCUGCACGAUGCGUUUGUACAAAUCAUCAUACCUGUGCACCGGAUUUUUAAUAUCAACGCCACUGCAGCUGUGAUCAAGAACAUAAGAGCGUUUAACAUCUUUUCUCCAUCGAGAAAGAAUGUAGUGAGGUGGGAUCUCCUGCAUGCCACUCUGGUUUAGAACACAAAGAAUGUGUCUGCAUAAAUAUCCUCUGAAAUUGAACAACCCACAAACACAAAGCACCUCCUGCAUAAAUAUCUUUCUCGUUGCUACCAAUCUCAAAUUCUUCCUUCACUAUCUGUGUUAUAGGUCCAUCAGCACUGACAUGUUUUGUGCUAUAGCAAGAGUACAUAGCCUCCACCUCCGUCUGAAACUUCCUUAACAUUUCAUUUGUGUACAGUUUUGAGAGUUGAAAUUCAUAGUAACAUCUUGGUUUCUGGAUACAACUUGAAUUUCUCGAAUCCAUAUCUGCCAAGGCUUCCAGUUGAUAAUUCGCCUGCAGUGCUUGAUCAUACUUGUCUAAGAAUUCUUUCAAAGGAGUACUCUUAUCAAGAUAUCCUUCAAAGUAUGAAGUAGAAACCUCAUUCUGCAGGAAUGAAAACACUCCUGAUAAAAAUGCUUCCUUCAAAUAAACAGGAGCCCACCUUUUACGAUCUUCAUAUAAAGUUUGAAUCCAUCCAUGAUCCUUUAUUCCAUGACGUUGAAUCGUGUCCUCCCAAGCUGUCUCAAAUUCCUCAGGCCUAAGAGAGUGAUAAAUUGCUCUAUGCAAUGCAGCUCUAACAGCUUCAUAUUCAAACAAUCCUUGGAGUUUCUCUGGAAUUUUUUGCAUGACGCAUGACAAUGAAAAGCAAUGAUAAGCUCUUGGGAAAGCAUUGCUGACGGCAGUUUUCAAGAUUCUACAUUGGUCAGUGAUGAUUGUUUGUGGACAGCGUCCUAACAUACAUGUAAGCCACGCCCUAAACAACCAUGUAUAUGAUUCUAUAGUCUCACUGGCGAGUAAACCACAGCUUCGUUUACACGCUUCGAAAAACACUUUGAAAUUCAAACGAAACAUUCCUUAGGUUGAUAAAUUAGUAGCGCAAAAGAAAUUUUAGUGAGAUAUGGGAUCAGGGUUUUUGCCACGGUGAUGUUAAUUGCGACAUUGGGGUGACUCAGCAGCCUUCGAGGCUGAAACUUUGAUUGACCAAAAGCUUCCCGUUCGUUGAUUAUCUAAUUGCAGAAACGAAACUCGCAGUGUACAGAAGAAGUACGCUGAUUUGAUAAUUCUGUGAAAAUCAUUGUUUUUUUGAGAUUUUUAAUGUGUUCGGUAAAUAUCAAAAUCUCAAAAACUUGUCUUUCAUUUUGGGGGGAAAAACCCAUUGAGAUCCUUAUGUUUUUUCUUAUAUAAUCUGGCUUAAUAAUUUGCAAAGUCUAUUACUUUGCACCCAUGCAUGCUGCGUUUCAAUUUUACAAAAUUGUACGUGAGUGCAUCCAGCUAAAAUUUGUAAAAAGAAAAUAACAAUAACAUGUUAAAAAUGUGAUGAUUAUGAAGAAAUUUUAAUUUAGUUAAAUAGGUGACGAUGGAUAGGUAUAAAAUCUGAGAUCUUUUAUGAGAUUAAUAAGUAUGUUGAGUUUGGAUUAGUUCAAUUUUGACAUAAUACAGAAUAAACACAACCUGCUAAUCUAAGUUAUCAUCUUUUCUCGUCAUCAGGUACCUGUUUGAAAAAUAAUUAUAUACAAUUUUAUUUGCGUUGUCUCUCCAAAAAUUUUGGACUCGAAUGUUAUUUUUAAUUGCUAAAAGUACGAAAAUGCCCCCUUUCUCUUCAGCUAAAGGAGUGCAAAGUCAUCUGUAUAAUUGAAUCUGCAUCAUCAGUUUCUAUUGCUGGCUGGUGUUACUGCAUGCUUACAGUUGCUUGACAAAGUGAGCCAGUUUUUUGUUUAUUAAUUUUUUUUCUUGUCGAGACAGUCACAAAGUAUUACUUGUUCCAUAUGAGAAUGAUGUGAAUCAAUUUUUCAAUUAUGCAUUCUGUGGUAAUUAUUGUGAAUUUAGUUUCAUUUGUCUUGUCUCCUGCAAAUUUUGAAGAAAAUGCAGACAUACAAACUUACAAUAUGGAAGAGUUCACUGGAAAAAACUUUGUGAAAGCUUCCAAGUGAAACAGGGAAUGGGCUUACUAGUAAAGGACAAAUUGGUGGCCAGCUAAUGCAUUCAUUCUAUGUCCAUUCAUCUUUUCGAAUUAUUGAAGACAAGCGUUGGUUAGAUCCAGAUAAUCUCGAUUAUCAAAAUAAUCUCUAUUUUGAAAUAAUAAUAUUCAAAAUAUCUCUUAAAUCAUUAUAAACCUCAAACCUGUUUUAAUUUUAUUUAAAAAGAUAAAAAAAAAAGGUUAUGUUGGUGAUUUUUUAUUUUUUUAAUAAAAAUAAAAUAAAUUGAUGUUUAUAAUUGUUUAAAGUACUUUAAAGAUUGUAAUUUUAUGAGAGAGUAAUAUUUCACCGUUUUUAGUGUGAAAGGCUGAAAAAGGACAAAGCAAGUUUCCCUAGUUUUUAUUUAUUUGAAAUUGGUCAUCUCAUAUGCUUCACCCUUCAACACUACAAUUUUUUUUGUGAUAAUUUUAUUAUUAUUUUUUCUACACAUGCAUGUGAAUUACUUUUCUUUAAGCUCCUGAAUAUUUAAGACGGAUCAUGGAAGAGAUGAGAGUAUAACAAGAUGAUCAAAAUAUGUAACAAAAAAAUUUUAGAAGUGAAAAAUAUGUUAGAGUCAAAGCAAAACUCUGAAAAUAGAGAUAUUCAUUAAUUUAGAAGAGAUGCAAGCAAAAGCUAUUCCAAAAAAAAAAAGCAAUAUGUCCCUUUGGAGGACAAACUUGUCAGUUUCAAAAAAGUACAUGCUUUGGAUUGAUAGUCGUAGGAUAUUUGUUUUGUCACUGUGUAUUAGUUGGAGAAGUCAAGCCUUGUGAAGAAUGUUAUGAAAAAGCAAAGGAUAUUCUUGAUAGAGCUCUAUUUGGUUAUGUAUUCAGUGAAUGGAUGUGUUGUUGGAAGAUAUUUGAGUGCAUUAGUUCAUUUGUGUCUGUCAAUGUGCUUUUAAUGAUUUUUCCACUUGUUUGUUGUAAAAGAUGAUUGUAAAUUGAAAUGAACUUGAUGUUGUAAAAUAUUUUGCUUAGUGGAAUUUCACCUAAGUAUUCACUUUUUAUUAAAUUUCGUUAACACAAUUCUUAAUUAAUGGUGUGUUUACUUCAUGAAAUAGGGAAUGAGAAUAGAGAAAUGAGAAUGAAACUCAUGUUUACUUGGCAAAAUAUAAUUUGAGAAUGAGAAUAAAAUGUGUGGGUCCCACACAAUUUGGGAAUAAGAAAUGAGAAUCUCAUUCCCAUGGGGGGUUAGAAAUGAAAAUAAGAGAAUGAGAAUAGAAUAUAUAUUUACUUUUGUAUCUCUCUACUUUUUCAUAUUUCCCAAAUUACCUUCAUUCAAAUAACAAUUAAUUUAUUAUUUUAAAUGUCAUUAAUAAUAAUUAUUAUUAUUUUUAUUCUUAAAUUUUAUUAACUUUAUUAUUUUAGUUAUUAUUAAUUAUUUUUAUUAAUAUUAUCAUUAUUGUUAAUAAUGAUAAUAUUAAUAAAAAUAAUUAAUGUAUCAUUAUUAACAAUAUUAUCAUUAUUGUUGUUGUUGUUGUUGUUGUUAUUAUUAUUAUUAUUAUUAUUAUUAUUAUUAUUAUUAAUAAAAAUAAUAAUAACAAUAAUUAAUAUUAACUAAAAUAAUAAAGUUAAUAAAAUUUAAUAAUAAUAAUAAUGUAAUUUUCAUUAUCUAGAUACAUGUAUAAAUAUUAUUAUAAAAAUAAUAUUAAUUAAAAUAAUAAUAAUAAUAAUAAUAAAUGUUAAUAAUGAUAAUACUAAUAAAAAUAAUAUUAAUAGUAAUUAAUAAUAACUAAAAUAAUAAAGCUAAUAAAAUAUAAUAAUAUUAAUAAUAAUAAUAAUAAUAAUAAAUGUUAAUAAUGAUAAUAUCAAUAAAAAUAAUAAUAACAAUAAUUAAUAGUAACUAAAAUAAUAAAGUUAAUAAAAUUUAAUAAUAAUAUUAAUAAAUGUUAAUAAUGAUUACUUUAAUAAAAAUAAUAAUAACUAAAAUAAUAAAGUUAAUAAAAUUUAAUAAUAAUUGUUAAUAAUGAUAAUAUUAAUAAAAAUAAAAAUAACAAUAAUUAAUAACAACUAAAAUAAUAAAGUUAAUAAAAUUUAAUAAUAAUAAUAAUAAAUGUUAAUAAUGAUAAUAUUAAUAAAAUUAAUAUUAACAAUAAUUAAUAAUAACUAAAAUAAUAAGUUAAUAAAAUUUAAUUAUAAUAAUAUUGUUAAUAAUGAUUGUUAACUUUAUUAUUUUAGUUAUUAUUAAUUAUUGUUAAUAUUAUUUUUAUAAUAAUAAUAAUAAUAAUAACAACAACAACAACAAUACACGACUUGGAUUAGGAUAGAAGGAAACUUAAAUCCUAGAGAAAAAGAUAGCUAUAUCCCAAGAUUUAAAAAAAUAGUCAUGUAGAUUUUUAAGAUUUCAGUAAGCGAUUGAGAUUUUCUUUUGACAAAUAAUAUCCUUUAUCUCUAUUAACAAAAAACAGAGACUCAAAUAUUUUAUAAUAAAUAAAAAUAUAAUAUUAAAAUAUAUGUGAUAAUAUAGACAUUUUAAAUAAUUUCAAUCCAAAAAAAUAGUUAUUUUUUACAAUCUAUUAAACAUAUUUUAUUGAAUUAAUAUAAGUUUUUCUAUAAAAUAGGAACAUAAUAUUAAAUAAAUUUACAAAACUUUAAAGAAUUUUGAAUGUAAAAUAAUUUUAAUAUAUUAAUACGUGAGACUUUUUAUUAUUGUAAAAAUUAUUUAACCCAAAUAUUUUUUAAAAUCUUUACAAUAAGUAUAAAUAUGUUAUUUACAUUUAAAAAUAUUUAAAUAUUAUUAACCUACAAUUAUAUUUGCAUUUAUUAGAAAUUUUUAAAGUCAAAUAUUUUGCACUUCUACAUUAUUAGAAUUAUUGCACACAAAGAAAGAAACAUAUAAGCUUCAUAAAUUUUUUUCUUUUACAUUUGGAAACAGAGAUGAUGAUUGAUUAUAAGGAUGAAAAAAAGGACAAAAAAUAUUAAUGAUUAACGAAAUCUCUAUGCAAAUUAAUUUUAGUAGGAAAAGAGUGAGAUGAAUGAUUUCUUUUACAGCUAGAAACAGAGAUGAUGAUUAUUAUAAGGUUAAAAAAGAAGAUAAAGAAUAUUAAUUAUUUGUGGAAUCUAUAUGCAAAUUGAUUUUAGUAGGAAAAAAGUGAGUUAAAUGAUUUAGACAUUCAUAGUGUGUUUAUUUUUUGGAUUGAUGAAUAAGAAUUAUUGACAACGCUAACUUCAUCUUCAUUGUUUGUUAUCCAACAACAGCAAUUGUCGCCGAUAAUGAUACCUCCAAUGAUGAUGAUGAUUUUAUUAUUAUUAUUAUUGAUAAAAAGUAUUUUAAUUAAUUAAUAUAUUAAUGUUAAUAUUAUUAUUAUUAAGAUUAAUAAUAAUUACUAAUAAUAAUAAAUUUUUGAAUAAAAAUAAUCACAAUAAUUAAAAUAAAAAUUAAUAAUUAUGACAAUAGUUAAUUAAUGUCUUUUUAGUAAUUUGUAAUAAUGUAAAUAAUUUUGAUUUUGAUUAUUACAAUUCAAGUAAACAAAUUAUUAUGAUUCAUAUUCUCCAUUCCCAUUUCAGCUCAUUUUGAUUUCAGUUCAUUUCGAUUUCUGUUUAAUAAACGCGCCGUUAGUGAUAUAGUAAUAUUUCAUAUAGAGAAAAGUAAAAACUAUACCUAAGGUUAAGGGAAAUGACUUCAAACCUCUCUUUUGACCAUAAUACAUUUUGUCCUAAAUUUAAAGAUUUUGAAUCUAAAAUUUUACAAUAAAUAAAAAUAUAUUCCUAAAAUAAAUAUACUAUCAAUAUUUAAAAUAUGUUUUAAUAUUUUACAAUCUAUCAGACACAUUUUAUUAAAUUAAAGUUAAUUUUAUAAUAAAUACAAACGUACUAUUAAAAUGAAUAUAUAAAAAAUUUAGAGUAUUUUGAAUAUUAUAUAUGCGUAAGAUAUAUUUUAUUAAUUUAAAAAGCUAUUUUACUUAAAAAAUUAUUUAUGAUAAAUUAAUAAUUACAUUUUUAAAAUUAUUUCAAAAUUUUAAAAUUUUUUAAUAUUAUUAAUCUUUUGGAUAGAUUAAAUUAUUUUAAAAUGCCUUAAUUGUUUUUACUUUUAGCGUUACCGGCCUUUCUUAUAUUUUAUUGCAAAUUAAUGCUAACAAGAAAAAGCUAGAUCAUAUUCCACAUAAGCAAAAGUGACAAAACAACCAGCUGGAUUCUUUUAUUAAUCUACAAUUAAAAUGGACUUAUAUAUAUAUAUAUAUAUAUAUAUAUAUAUAUAUAUAUAUAUAUAUAUAUAUAUAUAUAUAUAUAUAUAUAUAUAUAUAUAUAUAUAUAUAUAUAUAUAUAAACUACGUAUGAAAGUGGAAUCUUUUGAAUAUAAGUGGGGUAGGCUCCCUUUCAAAAAAAAAAAAAAAAAGUGGGGUAGGCUCUUUUAUUAAAGACAAGUAUUGAGUAGUCAAGACGAUUAGGGUCUUAACCAAUUAGGCCUUAGCCCGGUGGUCAGAACCUUGCACUCAUAAUUAUGAGCGCAGCGGUUUAAGCCCCGCAAUGUAAGUAGGGGUUUAUUUUCUUCUUUAAUUAUUAAGUGAAUGCAGUCUAUUCUCUUUCGAAAUGUGAAUGGAGUAGACACCCCUCGAAUAUUAGAGAGGGUAAAAUCUAGGCAGUGCUACAUAAGAAUUCAUGUAAAUUAGGCCCAGUAAUUGACUGAUUGUAAAUAUUAAUUGUAAAUCUCAUAUAAUAUAAAUUAUAAUCUGAGUAUUAAUCUCAUGUAAUUAAAAAAAAAAAGAAAAAAAAGACGAUUAUGUUCUUUUAUUAAACUACAAAUUGUAUAGUCUUUUUCAAAUUGUACAGAUAUUUAUAAAUUGGUGGCCCCUUGGAAAUUUAAUGCCAAGCAGAUUCAAGUCAUCAUGCACAAUCCUCAAUAAUUGUUUUCGAUAUUUAUAAAUUGGUGGCCCCUACGUCCUCAAUAAUUGUUCCGAUACUUAUAAAUUGGUGGCCCCUGGGUAAUUUAACAGCAGCUUGCAAGUGCCAACUAGUGAAAAGUCAUCAUUUCAAAUUCUAAAUACAAUAAUACUACACAUCUCAAAUUUUUUAUCUCAAAAAAUUAUCUCAAAUGAUAUGGAAUUUAUUAAUUGGUUGGUGAGAUAAUACAAUUAAUUCACUUGAAUCUUGUAAAGAAUUAUCAACUACUCAAUUAAUGACACAUCAUUUGGGAUAACUUUUUGGGAUAAAAAAUUUGGGAUGUGUAGCAUUAUUGUUCUAAAUAAGGGUCAUUCUAUAAUGCCGUAACUAAAUUUACGGCAUUGAUACCGUAAUGGACGUGGACCGUUAGAUUUGAAUAAAAAAUCUCUACCAUUAAUUCUAAAUAAAUAGGUAACCUGUUACCUAAGUAGUAGGUAAUUAUUAUUUUUUGUUCAAGUUCCAGGUUACAUUUACUAAUUUUAUGUGUGAUUUACAAGUUUUAUAAAACUUUUACAAGUUAAUGUUGAUUUACAAGUUUUAUGCAAUAUUUACAAGUUUUUGUUUUGUUUACAAGUUCUUCUUACAAUUUACAACUCUAACAUUAAUUUACCUAUUUUUCCAUUAAUUUACUAGUUUUAUGUGUGGUUUACACAUUUUUUGUUUUAUUUCACACUUAAUGUCAAUUUACAAGUUCUAUGUCAUUUUUAUAAGUUUUUGUUUUGUUUACAAGUUCUUCUUACAAUUUACAACUCCAACAUUAAUUUACUCAUUUUUCCAUCAAUUUACUAGUUUUUUGUGUGAUUUACAUAUUUUUUGUUUCAUUUCCCACUUAAUGUCAAUUUACAAGUUCUAUGUCAUUUUUCUACAUUUUUGUUUUGUUUACAAGUUCUUCUGGCCAAUUACAACUCCAUCAUUAAUUUACUCAUUUUUCCAUCAAUUUACUAGUAUUAUAUGGAUUUACAUAUUUUGUGUUUCAUUUCAUAAUUAAUGUCAAUUUACUAGUUGUAUGCCAUUUUUCUAAGUUUUUGUUUUGUUUACAACUUCUUUGUGCAAAUUACAACUCCAACAUUAAUUUACCAUUUUUUCCAUUAAUUUAUUAAUUUUAUGUGUGGUUUACAAAUUUAUUGUUUCAUUUCACACUUAAUAUUAAUUUACAAGUUUUAUGUCAUUUUUCUAAAUUUUUGUUUUGUUUACAAGUUCUUCUUGUAAUUUACAACUCCAACAUUAAUUUACCAUUUUUUCCAUUAAUUUAUUAGUUUUAUGUGUGGUUUAUAAAUUUAUUGUUUCAUUUCACACUUAAUGUUAAUUUACAAGUUCUAUGUCAUUUUUCUAAGUUUUUGUUUUGUUUACAAGUUCUUCUUGUAAUUUACAACUCCAACAUUAAUUUACCUUUUUCCAUUAAUUUAUUAGUUUUAUGUGUGGUUUACAAAUUUAUUAUUUCAUUUCACACUUAAUGUCAAUUUACAAGUUCUAUGUCAUUUUUCUAAGUUUUUAUUUUGUUUACAAGUUCUUCUUACAAUUUACAACUCUAAUAUUAAUUUACCAAUUUUUCCAUUAAUUUACUAGUUUUAUGUGUGAUUUACAUAUUUUUUUGUUUUAUUUCACACUUAGUGUCAAUUUACAAGUUCUAUGUCAUUUUUCUAAGUUUUUGUUUUGUUUACAAGUUCUUCUUGUAAUUUACAACUCCAACAUUAAUUUACUCAUUUUUCCAUCAAUUUACUAGUUUUAUGUGGGAUUUACACAUUUUUUGUUUCAUUUCACAAUUAAUGUCAAUUUACUAGUUAUAUGUCAUUUUUCUAAGUUUUUGUUUUGUUUAUAAGUUCUUCGUGCAAAUUACAACUCCAACAUUAGUUUACUCAUUUUUCCAUCAAUUUAGUAGUUUUAUGUGUGAUUUACACAUUUUUUGUUUCAUUUCACACUUAAUGUCAAUUUACAAGUUCUAUGUCAUUUUUCUAAAUUUUUGUUUUGUUUACAAGUUCUUCUGGCCAAUUACAACUCCAUCAUUAAUUUACCCAUUUUCCCAUCAAUUUACUAGUAUUAUGUGCGAUUUACACAUUUUUUUGUUUCAUUUCAUAAUUAAUGUCAAUUUACUAGUUGUAUGCCAUUUUUCUAAGUUUUUGUUUUGUUUACAACUUCUUCGUGCAAAUUACAACUCCAACAUUAAUUUACCAUUUUUUCCAUUAAUUUAUUAAUUUUAUGUGUGGUUUACAAAUUUAUUGUUUAAUUUCACACUUAAUGUCAAUUUAUAAGUUUUAUGUUAUUUUUCUAAGUUUUUAUUUUGUUUACACUUUUUUCUUCUAAUUUACAACUCCAUCAUUAAUUUACGUCUUUUUCCAUCAAUUCACAAGUUUUAUGUGUAAUUUACACAUUUUUUGUUUCAUUUUACACUUAAUGUCAAUUUACAAGUUCUAUGUCAUUUUUUUAAGUUUUCGUUUUGUUUACAAGUUCUUCUUGCAAUUUACAACUCCAACAUUAAUUUAUCCAUUUUUCCAUCAAUUUACUAGUUUUAUUUGUGAUUUACAAAUUUUUUGUUUCAUUUCACACUUAAUAUCAACUUACAAGUUCUAUGUCAUUUUUCUAAGUUUUUAUUUUUUUUACAAUUUCUUCUUGCAAUUUACCACUCCAUCAUUAAUUUACCAAUUUUUCCAUCAAUUUACUAAUUUUUUUUUAUGAUUUACAUAUUUUUUGUUUCAUUUUACACUUAAUGUCAAUUUACAAGUUCUAUGUCAUUUUUCUAAGUUUUUAUUUUAUUUACAAUUUCAUCUUCUAAUUUACAACUCUAACAUUAAUUUACUCUCUUUUCCAUCAAUUUACUAGUUUUAUGUGUGGUUUACCUAUUUUUUAUUUUAUUUCACACUUAAUGUCAAUUUACGAGUUCUAUGUCAUUUUUUUAAGUUUUUGUUUUGUUUACAAUUUCUUCUUGUAAUUUACAACUCCAACAUUAAUUUACUCUCUUUUCCAUCAAUUUACUAGUUUUAUGUGUGGUUUACGUAUUUUUUGUUUUAUUUCACACUUAAUGUCAAUUUACUAGUUCUAUGUCAUUUGUCUAAGUUUUUGUUUUGUUUACAAUUUCUUCUUGUAAUUUACAACUCCAACAUUAAUUUACUCUCUUUUCCAUCAAUUUACUAAUUUUAUGUGUAGUUUACGUAUUUUUUAUUUUAUUUCACACUUAAUGUCAAUUUACGAGUUCUAUGUCAUUUUUCCAACUUUUUGUAUAUAAUUUAUAACUUCAUCAUUAAUUUACCUCUUUUUCCAUCAAUUUACUAGUUUUAUGUAUAAUUUACACAUUUUUUGUUUCAUUUUACAUUUAAUGUCAAUUUACAAGUUCUAUGUCAUUUUUCUAAGUUUUUAUUUUGUUUUAUUUACAAUGUCAUUUUUCUAACUUUUUGUUUUGUUUACAAUUUCUUCUUGUAAUUUACAACUCCAUCAUUAAUUUACCUUUUUUUUUCCAUCAAUUUACUAGUUUUAUGUCUUAUUUACAUAUUUUUUGUUUCAUUUGACACUUAUGGUGUGUUUACUUCUUGGAAUAAGGAAUGGGAAUGGAAGAAUGAGAAUCAAAGCUAUGUUUACUUGACAAAAUUGAAUUUAGGAAUGGGAAUAAAUUGUGUGGGUCCCACAUAAUUUGAGAAUAAAGAAUGGGAAUCUCAUUCCCAUGGGGGGUUGGGAAUGAAAAUGUGGGAAUGAGAAUGAAAUAUAAAUUUACUUUUCUAUCCCUCUAAUUUUUUCAUAUUUCCUAAAUUACCCUUGUUCAAAUCACAAUGUAAUUUUGUUAUUUUAAAGGGAAAUUUACACUCGUCCACCUGUUUGUUUUGCCUUUUUCAAAAAUACACAAACACUUUUUUUUUUUCAGCGCGCCACCUGAUGUUUGUUUUUUGUUGCAUUCAUCCACUUCCGUCUAAUUUCCGUUAGUGGAUUUAACGGAAUGUUAAUGAAAUGACCUUUUUACCCCUCAAAAUUACAAUUUAACCCAAAAUAAAUAGAAAUUGGAGAUAAAUUGGAUGAAUUUAAUUUUUUUCAAAGGUGGAUGCUAGAAAUUGGAGGAAAAUAGUGUUUUUUGCUUGCUAAAUUUAGAAAAUUUGUAUUUAUUUUUUUGAAAGAUAAAAAAAUAAAUACACAAAAAAAUAAUACAAAUUUUCUAAAUUUAGCAAGCAAUAAACACUAUUUUUCUCCAAAAAAAUAAAUAAAAAUUUUCUAAAUUUAGUAACAAACAAACACUAUUUUCCUCCAAUUUCUAGCAUCCACCUUUGAAAAAAAUUAAAUCCAUCCAAUUUAUCUCUAAUUUCUAUUUAUUUUGGGUUAAAUUGUAAUUUUGAGGGGUAAAAAGGUCAUUCCGUUAAAUUCACUAACGGAAAUUAGACGGAAGUGGACAAAUGCAACAAAAAGUAAACUUCAAGUGGCGCGCUGAAAAAAAAAAGUGUUUGUGUAUUUUUGAAAAAUGCAAAACAAAUAGGUGGACGGUUGUAAAUUCCCCUAUUUUAAAUGUCAUUAAUAAUAAUAAUAAUAAUAAUAAUUAUUAUUAUUAAAGUUUAUUAAAUUUAUUAUUUUAGUUAUUAUUAAUUAUUUUUAUUUUUAUUAAUAUGAUCAUUAUUAACAAUAAAAAUAAUGAUAAAAAUAAUAAUUAAUAAAAAUAAUUAAUUUAUCAUUAUUAACAAUAUUAUCAUUAUUAUUAUUGUUGUUGUCAUUAUUAUUAUUAUUAUAUUAUUAAUAAAAAUAAUAAUAACAAUAAUUAAUAAUAACUAAAAUAAUAAAAUAAAUAAAAUUUAAUAAUAAUAAUAAUAAUAUAAUUUUCAUUAUGUACAUACAUAUAUAAAUAUUAUUAUAAAAAUGAUAUUAAUUAAAAUAAUAAUAAUAAUAAAUGUUAAUAAUGAUAAUAUUAAUAAAAAUAAUAUUAAUAGUAAUUAAUAAUAACUAAAAUAAUAAAGUUAAUAAAAUAUAAUACUAAUAAUAUUAAUAAUAAUAAUAAAUGUUAAUAAUGAUAAUAUUAAUAAAAAUAAUAAUAACAAUAAUUAAUAGUAACUAAAAUAAUAAAUUUAAUAAAAUUUAAUAAUAAUAAUAAUAAAUGUUAACUAAAAUAAUAAAGUUAAUAAAAUAUAAUAAUAAUAAUAAUAAUAAUAAUAAUAAAUGUUAAUAAUGAUAAUAUUAAUAAAAAUAAUAAUAACAAUAAUUAAUAGUAACUAAAAUAAUAAAGUUAAUAAAAUUUAAUAAUAAUAAUAAUAAAUGUUAAUAAUGAUAAUGUUAAUAAAAAUAAUAUUAACAGUAAUUAAUAAUAACUAAAAUAAUAAAGUUAAUAAAAUUUAAUCGAGCUCUAAUAUUUAGUCCCGAGCCUAACUAUUAAAUUCGAGUCAAAUGCCAGAAAGUUCAGGUCAAGUCAAUUAAACUAAAAGUCGAGCCGAGUCUUCCUUACAUGUAUAUAUGUUUGCAUCUUGAUUUUUAUUUUUAUUUAUCAUAUAAACUCUUCUAUAAAUUUAUUAUUAUUAUUAUUAUUAUUAUUAUUAUUAUUAUUAUUAUUAUAUAUAUAUAUAUAUAUAUAUAUUGUCAUUAAUCGGAAUGGGGAAUGAGAAUCAGAAUAAAUUGUUUACUUAACUUACAAGAAUCGAAAUCGAAAUGGAUUGGAAUCUCAUUAAUGUGUUUAUUUUAUCUUGGAAUUGGCUUUGGAAUGAGUUAGAUUGUAACAAAUUACUCAAAAGUACUUAAUGAAUUAUUAUCAUAAUUAUUUUAUAUUUUAAUUAUAGUGAUUAUUUAUUCAAAAAUUAUUAUUAUUAAUUAUAAUAUAUUAAUAAAAUCAUAAAUCUAUCAUUUUUUCUUUAAAUUAGUUUAUAAAAAUCGACCAUGUCCCUUUCCCGAAUGAGAAAUUGAGUAUAAAAUCAUAAAUUUAAAAUUUAACUAAAAAUCAUAAAUCUAAACUCAAAAAAAAAAUCAUAAGUGGUUCUAUAUACAUUUUAGGUAUAUAUAUAAAUGUUUGUUUGUGUGUGUAUAUAUAUACUAUCAAUUUUAUCCUUAACUUAUUUUAAAAAAUAAUGUUAUAUAAUUAAGAUUAUUAAGAUAUAAAAAACAACAAAAAAUUAUAAAAUUUAAAAUUCACUAAAACUAUGUCAUUUCCAUAUAAUAUUCAUUUUCUUUUUUAAGUGAAAGCGGUAAAAAAAAGGCUCGGCUCUCAAGUCUCAACGACACCAUAGAAUACGAGAACGACAAAAUGAAAAAUUAAAAUUAUAGUGAUUAUGAAUUUACAGUGAGAUUUGAAUGAUAGUAACACAUUUACAAUGAUUAUGAAUUUAACUGAUGAGUUCGUAAUGGAUCAAUAGUAUUUUCGCAAGGAUGGCAAUGGGUCGAGUCGGGCCUGUGCUUAGCCAUUUCCGAGCCCAACUCUAUAACUGAAAUAAAAUUUUCAAGCCUAAAAAGGCUCGAUUAUUUGAAAGCCUGUGCUCAAUCACACUUUCAUUUAAAGUUUUUUUUUUUAAUUUUUAGUUAAUUUAAAAUUUAAAAAUUGGACAUAGCCUCCCCAUAUACAUUAAAAUAUAAAAGCUUCAAAAAUUGUUUAAUGUAACAUAAAAAUAAAAAUUACUCAAGGUCAUAACCAUAUUAUUACGUAAAUAAUAAACAUAAAAUAAACAUUUUUUUUUUUAAGUUUCAGGGUCAAGUCAGGUCGAGUCCAGCAUGUAGGUCAUGAACCCUGAUCUGAAUUUAAUCGGGCUCUAAUAUUUAGGCCCAAGCCUGACCAUUAAAUUCGAGUAAAAGGCCAAAAAAUUCAGGUCAAGUCAAUUAGACUAAAAGUCGAGCCGAGUCUUCCUUGCAUGUAUAUAUGAUCAUAUAAACUCUUCUAUAAAUUAUAUAUAUAUAUUUUUACUUGUAAUUAAUCAAAAUGGGGAACGAGAAUCAGAAUAAGUGGUUUACUUGACCUACAAGAAUCAGAAUCGGAAUGGACUGGAAUCCCAUUGAUGUGUUUAUUUUAUCUUGGAAUUGGCUUCGAAAUGAGUUAGAUUGUAAAAAAUUACUAAAAAGUAAUUAAUGAAUUAUUAUCAUAAUUAUUAUUUUAUAUUUUAAUUAUAGUGAUUAUUUAUUAAAUUAUUAUUAUUAAUUAUAAUAUAUAUUAUUAUAUUAAUAAAAUCAUAAAUUUAAAAUUUAACUAAAAACCAUAAAUCUGAACCCAAAAAAAAAAUCAUAACAUAAGUGGUUCUAUAUAGAUUUUAGGUAUAUAUGUAAAUGUUUGUGUGUGUCUAUAUAUAUAUAUAUAUAUAUAUAUAUAUAUAUAUGAAUCUAUCAAUUUUAUCUUUAACUUAUUUAAAAUAUAUAAUGUUAUAUAAUUAAGAUAUAAACAACAACAAAAAAUUAUAAAAUUUACUAAAACUACAUUGUUUCCAUAUAAUAUUCAUAUAAUAUAAUAACUUGAAGGCUCUAGUUAGAAAAUUUCCAUCAAAACAUUAGCAUUGACCACCAAUGUGUAGGAUCCAAGUACGAAUUUAACACAUAGGCAAAUCACUCAAAAAAUAAAUUAAUUAAAAUAGAACCAUGAACAAAUAAAUUUUUCAAAGUGGGUUGGUAAAAAAGGAAACUAUGGUUGCAUUGACACUUACAAUGAUACACAAAAGGCAAAACGAAAUUAAGGCUGAUUUUAUUCUUUUGGGACUGGAUGCGUAUGUUCAAAAUAAUUGUUUAUUUUGAACAAUUAUUUGAUCUUCUCUACUGCAUAGCCAAUAUUUCAUUACAGAUGUAACAUCUGUAUAAUUCUCGUUUGUCUCUUACUUAGAAACAAUAAAAAGAUCAAAUUAAAGUCCAAUGCAUACUCUAUAUAUAUAUAAUUUUUUUUUUUGUGUUAACCAUUAACAAACUCAAUUCAUAAUAUAGUCAACAAAAAACAUUAAAUAUUGUCAAUCGCCACCACAAGAAUGAAAGCAUCCAAUAUAACCAGGAUUGGUCUCAAUUUAUCUCAAAACUUCAUAACAGUUCACCAACAAGGAGUAACCAUAAAUAAGGUAAUAGGGAUAAGUCUAACUGCUGGAACAAUUAGGUUUCUCAACCAAACAUUAGUUUACUCAUAGAUCCAAGGGUGAAGGCUGCUCUGCCAGUUAAUAGGGCCAUCUGGGAACCACAAGGCAAUUUCUUUCUGGGCACUCGCAACUGAGUCACUUCCAUGGAUGAUAUUCCUGCCCAUCACAAUAGCGAAAUCACCAUGGAUGGUUCCAGGAGCAGACUGCGCAGGGUUGGUGGCUCUAAUAAUAGUGCGGCCAGUCUUAACAACGCCUUCACCCUCCCAAAUCAUAGCAAUGACAGGACCAGAGGUUAUGUACCCAAUAAGAGCACCAAAGAAAGGCUUUGACAACAAAUCCUCAUAGUGCUUCUCAGCAAAAGGGCGGUCCACAGUCAUAAGCUUCAAACCCUUCAAAGAGAAACCUUUCUUCUCAAAUCUGCUGAUGAUUUCACCAACAAGGCCUCUUUGGACCCCAUCGGGCUUGAUCAUGAUGAAAGUUUGUUCCAUUUCAUUGAGAUUCAAAGAAACCAACUUGUUUGAGAAUUCAGUGAAAUAGCACAACACAUAGGUGAGAGAAUAAUGCAUGCUCUAUAUAUAUACAUAUUUGCUAUGUCUUGGUCAAAACAAUGCAAAUGCGGUAGAGGAGAAUCAGUAAAGAAUGACGAACCUAGCCCGGUUCUCCUCUUGACUCCCGACGCCGAGUCGUUAUCGUCGGACCGAAACCACUUCACGAACACGAACCCAGCCCCUUCACCAACACGAACCGUUGUAGAGCUUCUACUUUCUCACUCCUUUUUGGCUUCAAACAGUUUUCAAAGCGAAGAUUGCAGUAAAAGAGGAAGGAUCGAGGAAACAAAAUUCGGGUUAGCCAGCAAACCCAAUUGCUUCGAAAAUACAAAAUCUGGCGUGCUACGAUUUUUAGAUUCGAUUCCGGGACCUUCGAAUUAUGACCAGACUUUGAUUCUAUUUGGACUUUCGUAGAAUUCAAUUUUAAAAUCUAUAAUUUUGAAAUUUUAACCAGUUAAUUUUUUUAAAUAAAUGUUUAACCGGUUGUAAACCUGUUAAUGAAAUUUUUUUAAAUAUUUUUAUUAUAUUAUAAUUAUUAGGUACCGUUGAUCUAAUCCAAUGGUCCACGUUUAUUACAGUAUCAAUGCCUUAAAUUUACUUACAACAUUAUAGAAUUUUCCUAAUUAAAAUACAAAUUAAUAAUUAUAACAAUAGUUAAUUAAAGUCUUUUUAGCAAUUUGUAAUAAUCUAACUCAUUAUGAUUUUGAUUAUUACAGUUUAAGUAAACAACUUAUUAUGAUUCUUAUUCUCCAUUCCCACUUCAGUUCAUUCCGAUUUCAAUUCAUUCCGAUUUUCGUUUAAUAAAUGCACCAUUAGUGCUAUAGUAAUAUUUCAAAUAGAGAAAAGUAAAAGCUACACCUAAGGUUGAGGGAAAAGAUUUCAAAACUCUCUUUUGAUCAUAAAACCUUUUGUCUUAAUUAACUUAAAGAUUUUGAAUCUAAUAUUUUAUAAUAAAUAAAAAUAUAUUCCUAAAAUAAAUAUAAUAAUAUCUAUUUUAAAAUUACUAACUGUUUUUAUUAAAGGCAAGUAAUAUCAAUUGUAAACUACAAAUUAAAAUAGAUUUUUUUUCGAUAAAUUACAAAUUAAAGUGGAUUCUUUUGAAUACAAGUGGGACAGACGAUUAGGCUCUUUUUAUUAAAGGCAAGUAAAUUACAAAUUACUAACUGUUUUUCCUUCAAAAGUUAGCGGCUCAUGUUUGCAAGUGUGAAUGUGCGAUGCUCUUUUCUUAAAGGCAAUUACAGUGGGGCCCGAAUCAGACGUGCCUAAAUCUUUUUAAAAUUUUUGCCGUAUAACGAACAGAGGUCAUUACUAAAAUUUCUCUUCCAUAGCCUACAGCAGCUUCAGUUUAUCAAACUCCAUCAAUUUUCUUUCUUAACAAAAUUCCAAAGAUGUGUAGCAUUUUUCAGAUCACAUGCGAUGGUGCUCUUUUCAAUCGUUGCUUGGAUUGCUUUCUUGGAAAAGCAGCAUACAUACGUAACCUCCAAGAUAAUCUUGAUGCCUUGGACACUGAACUGGGAAGACUAAUCGCUAAAAAGAACGAUGUGAUGAGGAGGGUUGUCGACGCUGAACGACAACAAAUGAGAAGGCUGGACGGAGUGCAAGUGUGGGUUUCGAGGGUGGAUGCUGUUAAAACUGGAGCCGAUGAACUUAUCACAGACGGCUCUGAAGAAAUUGGCAAAUUAUGUGUUGGAGGCUACUGUUCCAAGAACUGCAGGUCAAGCUACAAAUUCGGAAAACAAGUGGCUAAAAAGCUACAAGAUGUAAAGACUUUAAUCGCCGAGGGAGUUUUUGAGGCGGUGGCCACUGAGGUGGUGCCCGAGAGAGCUCCGGAACCUGUAGCAGAUAAAAGACCCACUGAGCCAACAAUAGUAGGCUUGCAAUCACAGCUUGAACAAGUUUGGAGAUGUCUUGUAGAAGAAUCAGUGGGAAUCAUUGGCCUAUAUGGUAUGGGCGGUGUUGGUAAAACCACACUAUUGACCCAUAUCAACAAUAAAUUUCUUGAGAGUCCCACAAACUUUGAUUGUGUGAUUUGGGUCGUAGUUUCAAAAGACCUGCGACUUGAAAAAAUUCAAGAAGAUAUUGGGAAGAAGAUAGGUCUCUCUGAUGAUUCAUGGAAGAAUAAAAGUUUUGAAGAGAAAGCUGUGGACAUCCUGCGGAGAUUAGGAGAGAAGAGAUUUGUAUUGUUGUUAGAUGAUUUAUGGGAGCGGGUUGAUUUAACAGAAGUGGGCGUUCCACUUCCCAGCGCACAAAAUACUACCUCAAAAGUCGUAUUCACAACCCGUUCCAUUGGUGUUUGUGGCAGCAUGAGAGCUAGGCCGGUUAAAGUGGCAUGCCUAUCAGAAAAGCAAGCUUGGGAAUUGUUCCGCGAAAAUGUUGGGGAAGAAACUCUUGAGAGUGAUCAUGAGAUCGUUGAGCUAGCCCAAACUGUGGCCAAAGAGUGUGGUGGUUUGCCACUCGCACUUAUUACUAUUGGUCGAGCUAUGGCCUACAGAAAGAAAGCGGAGCAGUGGAGACGUGCAAUUGAAGAGUUAAGAAGAUCAGCUUCAGAGUUUGCAGGUUUGGGAAAAGAGGUGUAUCCUCUUUUAAAGUUUAGCUAUGAUAGUUUGCAGAAUGAUACAAUUAGAUCUUGUUUCUUGUAUUGUUGUUUAUAUCCUGAAGAUUAUGGCAUUCUUAAAUGGGACUUGAUUGAUUGUUGGAUUGGCGAGGGAUUUUUUGGGGAAUCUGACAGGUCUGGUGCAGAAAACCAAGGCUAUGACAUUUUGGACACUCUUGUUCGUGCACGUUUAUUAGAAGAGGUGGAAGAUGAUAAAGUAAAAAUGCAUGACGUUAUUCGUGAUAUGGCUCUAUGGAUAGCUUGUGAAAUUGAGAAGGAGAAGAGAAACUUUUUGGUUUGUGCAGGUGCUGGAUUAAAAGAGGCACCGGAUGUUAAAGGAUGGGAAAAUGUGAGAAGAUUGUCAUUGAUGCAAAACCAAAUUAAAACUCUGUCAGAGGUUCCCACAUGCCCUCAUCUCCAUACUUUAUUUCUUGCCUCUAAUAUGGAGUUGGAGAUGAUCGCGGAUGGCUUCUUCCAAUUUAUGCCUUCUCUCAAAGUUUUGAAGAUGUCACGCUGCUGGAAUUUUCAAUUACCUGUUGGGAUGUCAGAUUUGGGUUCGUCACUAGAACUUCUUGAUAUUUCACGUACCAAAAUAAGAGAGUUACCAGAAGAGUUAAAGUUGUUGGUAAAUCUGAAAUGUUUGAAUUUGGGGUGGACAAGGGAGUUAAAUAAAAUUCCACGGCAACUAAUAUCAAAUUCUUCAAGGUUACGUGUGUUGAGAAUGUUCGCUACUGGCUAUGGGGGUCUUCAUGGAGCAUCAGAAGAUAGCGUUUUUUUUGGCGGGGGUGAAGUUUUGAUACAGGAAUUGCUCGGUUUGAAAUAUUUAGAGGUAUUGGAGUUGACCUUGGGAAGUUAUCAUGCUCUCCAAAUUGUUUUGAGCUCAAAUAAGUUGAAAAGUUGUAUUCGAUCUCUUUUCCUCCAGUUGUUCAGAGAUACAACGUCGAUUAUUGAUGCUACGGCUUUCGCAGAUCUAAACCACCUCAAUGAAUUACAUAUUUAUAUAGGUAUUGAGUUGGAAGAGUUGAAGAUUGAUUAUACAGAGAUAGUACGAAAAAGGCGGGAACCUUUUGUUUUCCGCAGCCUUCACCUUGUUACUAUACAUAGCUGCCCUAAAUUGAAAUAUGUGACAUUCCUCGUUUUUGCUCCAAACCUCAAGUCUCUUGAGCUAUGGAAUUGCCAUGCUAUGGAAGAAAUAAUCAGCGUCGGAAAAUUUGCUGAGACUCCUGAGAUGAUGGGACAUAUAAGCCCUUUUGAAAAUCUCCAAAGGCUUAAUUUAGAAGAUUUGCCAAAUUUGGAGAGCAUCUACUGGAAGCCAUUGCCUUUUACUCGUCUGAAAGAAAUGGCGGUACUUGGGUGCGAUCAGCUUGAAAAGCUUCCGGUCGAUUCCAAUAGUGCAAAAGAGCGUAAAUUUGUAAUUCGUGGAGAAGAAGACUGGUGGAACCGACUUCAAUGGGAGGAUGAAUCCACUCAAAUUGCUUUUCGUUCCUGUUUCCAACCUGAUUCCUGAGCGGUGGUCGCAAAAUUUGAUUUCUGGUGAGUGCGUUUGUCUUUUAAAAGAAGAAUUUAAAAGAAAUUAUUCUUGUCGUUUGUUUUCUUCUGUGUUUUUAUUUCAGUUUCUUUCUCUCUCUCUCUCUCUCUCUUUUUGGUCUUCUGCAAAUCACAAUUAAAUGUUGAAUUAAUGGAAUUAAUGCUUCAUAAAUUUGCCGGCACUGCCAUUACUGUUUUUUGGGGGGGUCGAAUUGAUGCUCUGGUUUUUUACUUUUUGUUGUCAAAUUUUGCCCUGUUCUAUCUUCUUAGCGAUUUAAUUUCCUGUCAAAAGACGAGCGAGAAGAACAUAUAUAUGACUUAAACCAAUUGAUACUUUAUUUAUGUGCAUUGUAUGUAAUAAAUAUUAAGUAUACUUUAUUUUGCCCUGUUCUCUGUUUUUAUUUCAGUCUCUCUCUCUCUCUCUUUCCUGUCUUCUGCAAGUCAUAAUUAAAUGGUGAAUUAUAUGGAAUUAAUGCUUUACAAAUCUGCCUGCACUGGCUUUUUUUUUUUUUUUUUUGUGGGGUCGAAUUGAUGCUCUGGUUUUUUUUUGUUGUCAAAAUUUUCUCUGUUUUUUCAAAUUGAUGCUUUAUUUAUAUCUUCUUCGUGAAAAGUGAUUUAAUUUCCUGCCAAAAGACGAACGAGAAGAACAUUAGAGUCAAACUAAUGCUCACAUAAAUUUCCCGUCAGAAUAUAUAAUUAGACUGGAAUAGUAGCACUCUUUACAGAAAAUGACGUGAAAGUUAAUUUAGAAAGAUAUAUUCUUGACGUGAAAGUUAAUAGUAUACAUGCCAUCACCAUUACCAAGAAUCAAGCAUGGAAUUGGAAGUCAUUCUAUAGAGUGCAGAACAUGACUCUAUGCGGUAGUCAAUUUGACACACGACGAACACCAUAUGCUGCAUAACAUACAAAUUAAUUUCCCAUAUGUGAUGCAAUUUGCUCCUCAACAUAUGCGCAAUUCUUUCCAUUCCGGCCGUUGAUUGAACCCUUUGGCAACAAGACGAGCUUUAAACUUGUCAACAGAACCGUUGGAAUGUCUUUUAAUACAAAAAUCCUUUUGCAGCCAACAAUAUUGGAAGGGAUGGGAGGUGGAACAAGCUUCCAUGUCCCGUUACGAACAAGAGCAUCAUACUCUUCUGACAUAGCUUGACGCCAGUGAGGAUUUUUGAUAGCUUGUGUCACAGUUGUAGGUUCACAAUCAGAAAAAGGGCUAAAAUGAGCACGGAGGUUAAGUUUUUGUAACGGCUUGUGAAUCUUAUUUUUAGCUCGGGUAGUCAUAUCAUGAUGAUUUGUGGGGCAAUGAUCUAGUGGAAGUUUGGGAAGAUGAUUGAACAGGAAGUGAAGAAGUGCUUUGUGUAGAGGUAGAAGUAGGUUGGGAGGAUUGCUGCGGCGAUGUUACCGGUAGAAAAGAAGGAGCAGUACACGGUGCAACUCCAGAGGGCCCACAGUAGAUGGAGUAGGUGCCGACGAUGGAGUACUAGGAAAUGAAACAGUAAGAAUUGGUGGAACACUUGCGUAAUUAGGAGUGGUUGAUGAGCUUGUAAUGAUUUGUAUGGAAAAACAAACUCUACAAAUUUAACGUGACGUGAAAAAAAAAUUUGAAAGGUGGAUGGGUCAAAACAUAAAUAAGCACUUUGAGAUAAAGGAAUAUCCUAGAAAAACACAAGGCUUAGAGGGUGGUUCGAGUUUAUGUGAUGAAACACAAACAUUCAAAAAUUUUUAAGUUUAUAUUAAUUAGGAGUGGUACCAAAAAUUAAUUAGCUAUGGGGUUGUUGGAUGUGUUUUGGAUAUUUACAGUUAAGUUUGAGUAUCUCAACUUAAAAUUUGUAGUUUUCACUUGAAAAAAUUCAGUUAAAUUUUGCAAUGCAGACUGAUUGAUUUAUCAGUUUAACGUGUGCCAGGAAUGAAGAACUGGAAUAUCACCGUCAAGCAAGCACCCUGUGGAGCAAUACCAAAGAAUGCACAAUCCGGCUUUGCUAGGUGACACUGGAGGCUUUUUGAAAAGUGCUUCACGCUCACUUGCACAGAUUGAGCAUCCCCUCUGGAUAUUGCCCUCUCUGAUCGAGUCUGAGCACUCAAAUUUCGGUCCUCAGAUGGAGCUACAGCUUUCUCUCCAAUAACCAACAAUUUUCUAAACUCAGCACCUAGUGUGAUCAGAGUUGUUGAUAUUUGUAAAUGGAGAUCCCCAUAUUUGUAAAUGGAGACAUUUAACAAAUCACCAACAUGCUUCAUCCGGUGUACAAAAUUCUGCAGCUGAUUCAAAUCCGGAACCUGAACCAGAGUCGGAGGUAUAUCUUGAGCCAUAUCUAAAGCAGUUUGAAGUUCAAGACCUUGAGCCCUUGACAAUGGUUUUGAAAUUGGAACAUCUUGGAUUACUGCAGACUUGUACCCCUUGGUUUCAAAGGUAAGGAAAGGCAUUGCUUGAGUACAAUUUGGAGGCAGCUUCUUCACCAAUUUUAUUUGGAGGCGAUUGGCAGCGGAUCCAGCUGCACCAAUUUCAGAGCAACUACUGACACUACUUCGAACAGCACACUGAAGAAGUGAUAUGUCUACAGCAAAGGCAAUGCAGUCCUCAUUUUGGCUUGAGAUGCGGUAAUCAUCGAAGAGAGUUUCCUUGUGAAACUGGGCAACACAUUGAAUCCCUUUGGCACUGAGAAGGUUGUGGAGGAAGUAAGCUUUCUCUCUAGUAAGGAAGAGGUGGCAUACAUUCCCCAUUUUGUCUAGGGCAGGUAGGAAUCUUUUUUCUAAGAGAUUUACUUCAUUCUCUGUGAGAAAUGCUUUGAACUUCAUCCCUCUGUCUCUAUCCUCACUUAUCAGUAAAAUAGUUGAAAGCGCUACAAGGAGAGAAAAGAAGAGUAUUAAGAUAUAUAUAGACAAGAAAAACAUUAGAUGUCGAUCUUACAAGCUAAUACUUCAAACAGUAUCCUAGAAAGCUAAAAACUGCAAAAUGGCUUGAAAUUUGAAAAGAACACAUGCUUUUCCUCCAUAACUUGAGAAAAUGUUUAAUAUAGUGCACCUUACAGAAACAUUUAAGCAAUUAGAACUUUGCACAAAAACAUUCAAGAAGACUAAACAAAUCAGAUGCAGUGUAUUUCUCCAAGCACAAAUGGCAUUGCAUUUCUUCCUCAACUGUAAUAUUUAUUGAUGAAAAUCAGUACAGGUCCCUCAUUUGUUAUGGAAAGCUUUCUUGUAGUCUGACCGGUUAAUUCACGGGUCUAUAAUCAUCUUGCAAAGUUACAGGCAUUUCUUUCGAUUUAAAGUCUUUGCAUCACCACCUCAUCACACACCAAGCCAAUAUUCCGUCUACCUCUACAACAAAAAGUUUUAAGUAAACGAUCCUAAUGCAUGCAGCCAAAUAAAAUGCAGUAAGAAUAUUCAACUUAAAACUCUGAAAGCCAUCUUGGUGAAUUGCCUCCUUAGGGGAAGUUCCAUGAUUUACUAUAGUUGACAGAACUCAGCAAAAGCUUCCAUACAACAGAUUUUGAAAAUGAUGAUGCCAAUAGAUACUCAUUCAAUCCAUUGAAAAUCCAAAGGUUCAUUGUUAGAUCACGAGCAAGAAACAAAAUGGAGACACGCAAUAUGAAUAUGGAGAAAAUUUGAACUCAAAUGAAAUGAGGGCACGAAAGCAAACACAUGGCAUGCGCAAACAAACCAAGCCUCAAUCAAAAACUAAUUAACCAUUAAGAAAAAAAAACUGGUCAGAGAAUGAACUCCAAAUUCGGGAGUGAAGCAAGAAGCUUUCAUUAUUUCAGAAGCUCCUGUACAAAUUAAUAAGUUAUGCUCUUUGGAAACAAACCUAAAUUCCAAGAGAAACAGAACUCAAAAAAUUUGCAAUUAUACGCAAAGGAAGUGAAGCACAGCAUUCUAUCACACGUACGAAUUGUACAACAAGAGAUCGACACAUCGAAUCAGAAGAACUCAAUUCAAAUUUGUCUCAAAAAUCAAAAUUAGAAGAUUUCACAUUUCGAGAGGAACAAGCGACAGGUCAGAUGCAAAAUUUUCAGCCACAACAUGGCACAAUUAACGGUUUAUUUCCAUGGAUUUAGAGAGAUCGCGCGCCAAAAUGGAAGAGGGAAAGCGAAAGUGCGGGUUUUAAUAGGGUAUUGGAUUAGCAAAUUUUAUUAGUUUGCGAGGGUAAAAUAGGAAAGAUAUAUCACUAUUAAGCUUUUUUUUUAAUAAAAAAAAGAAUAAUAAAGAAUAUUUUAUUGUCAUUUGCAGCAUUUAAUUUUUUUUUUAAAUGCUAUUAGAAAAAUACGACAAUAAAGAAAUGCUCUUUUUUUUUUUUUUUUUUCUGGAAGGUAAAAUCAAUUAUUUAGCUCCUUAUAUGUAAUCAAACUCCAUUUCUUACUUUAAGUCAUAUCCAACGGACCAACAAAGUAAUUUUUUUUUUUUCAUUCAUUUUUGCAGAAAAUUAAUAACUUAAAAAUAUUGAAAGCUAUUCUAAAAUUUUUUAUUAUCAACCUCAUAGUUUAAUUUUUUUGGGGAAGAAUUGAAUUUUUUUUUUUAAUUUCCAAGAAUUUCAUUCUCUAGUUUUUCCAUUAAUAUUAUUUAUCUUGAUACCCAUCUUAAUUAAAAUCUGUAGUUUUAUUCAAGAGUCAUGCUAUUCAUUCACUCACAGGCAAAAGGCUUUCCGCAGCAAUAUUAUUAUUUAAAUUACAACAAAGGGGAAAUCAAAUACGUCAUACAGAAGCAUAAAGCUGAAUCUACAAAAUCUAGAGCUCUCAACUACAUAAAUUACACUUGAUGACCCUCUACAAGAUGAAGCUUGUUCAAUAUCUCAUCCAAAGCUUGUAAAGUAACCCUGUAACGAUCUUGAGAUUGCCUGCCUUCCUCGACGACCUGCACGAUGCGUUUGUACAAAUCAUCAUACCUGUGCACCGGAUUUUUAAUAUCAAUGGCACUGCAGCUGUGAUCAAGAACAUAAGAGCGUUUAACGUCUUUUCUCCAUCGAGAAAGAAUGUACUGAGAUGGGAUCUCCUCCAUGCCACUCUGGUUUAAAACACAAAGAAUGUGUCUGCAUAAAUAUCCUCUGAAAUUGAACAACCCACAAACACAAAGCACCUCCAAGUCAGAGGCAUUGUACAAAACAUCGAAAGCCCUUGAAUCUUUCUCGUUGCUACCAACCUCAAAUUCUUCUUUCACUAUGUAUGUUAUAGGUCCAUCAGCACUGACAUGUUUUGUGCUAUAGCAAGAGUACAUAGCCUCCACCUCCGUCUGAAACUUCCUUAACAUUUCAUUUGUGUACAGUUGUGAGAGUUGAAAUUCAUAGUAACAUCUUGGUUUCUGGAUACAACUUGAAUUUCUUGGAUCCAUAUCUGCCAAGGCUUCCAGUUGAUAAUUCGCCUGCAGUGCUUGAUCAUACUUGUCUAAGAAUUCUUUCAAAGGAGUAUUCUUAUGAAGAUAUCCUUCAAAGUAUGAAGUAGAAACCUCAUUCUGCAGGAACGAAAACACUCCUGAUAAAAAAGCUUCCUUCAAAUAAAUAGGAGCCCACCUUUUACGAUCUUCAUAUAACGUUUGAAUCCAUCCGUGAUCCUUUAUUCCAUGACGUUGAAUCAUGUCUUCCCAAGCUGCUUCAAAUUUCUCAGGCCAGAGAGAGUGAUAAAUUGCUCUAUGUAAUGCAGCUUUAAUAGCUUCAUAUUCAAACAAUCCUUGGAGUUUCUCUGGAAUUUUUUGCAUGAUGCAUGACAAUGAAAAGCAAUGAUAAGCUCUUGGGAAAACAUCGCCAGCAGCAAUUUGCAAGAUUCUACAUUGGUCAGUGAUGAUUGUUUGUGGAGAGCGCCCUAACAUACAUGUAAGCCACGCCCUAAACAACCAUGUCUAUGAUUCUAUGGUCUCACUGGCAAGUAAACCACAACCCAACAACACUGAUUGUCCAUGAUGAUUCACCCCAAUGAAUGAAACCAGUGGUACAUCAUAUCUUUCAGUCAAGCACGUAGUAUCAAUUAAGACUACAUCACCAAAGUACCUAUAUGCAACUCUUGACCUGAUAUCAGUCCAGAACAGGUUUCUCAAGCAUCCCUUUUCAUUUAGUCCACUACAUUAAAAAAGUUUGGAUCUGUCAACUGCAAACGACAAAAGAAACUCUGGAUAGCUUGUGCAUCUCCUGGUUUAAGCUUCAAUUGAUUUGAGCUAUUAACAUUAUUUCCAAAUACUCCAUUAACAUCUACAUUACCAUUUCCCUCGGUAUCAAUGAUAAGAGUUCGAAACAGUUUAAUUUUUUGAACUUCUUCAGCACUAUCUAAAUGCAAUGUUCUUUUGGUUCCAAUACCUAUGUGCUUAUGUGACUUGUAAAACUUUCCACUUCUUGGGCUUAACAAGUGGUUAUGCUCAAGCUCGACUUCAAUGAUUCUCCACCUUUUGGUUUCCAUCAACCUAAACUUUAUCAUUGCUGGACAGCCAGUUCUUGUUUCUGGUCUUGGGCGGUUUGCCUCGCUUUUCUUCUUGAAGCCUGCACUACUACAGCUCAGCUUUCCUCUAUACUUUACUCUUUUGGUACCAUGUAUUGCUAACUCUAACACCAAAACCAUGUUCCUUGGCAUAGCAAUUGUAAAAGUAAAAUACAUCAUCAUACAUCUCAAACUCCAUUCCAACAGCAGGAGGCAAGGGAUUUUGGAUUAUCCCAGUUUGUCCAACAUAUUCAGUCAUCGCACAAUCUCCUACGACCUCAAAAUCAUCAGUGUCAUCAUCACCUACUGGUUCGGUGUUGAGAGAAACUUCAUCCAUCUACAAUGGAUGUUCAAUGAAGUGAGCUUUAAGGAGAAAAAGCAAAAUCAGUUCAAGGAAUGAUAAUAUAAUCAUAUAGUUACUUUCACAAAGCUUCAUAUUUCAUCACUGCUUUACCAACAUGCAACUGCCAGAGAACAAACAGACAUGUCAUAGACGCUUGAAUUAAGUAUUUGUACAAAUGAGCACACAUCAUGUGGGACAAAAUUUCAGUCACUAAACCCAAUACCACUUUUUACAUCAUACCAAGGAACAGAUUAAACCCGACACCUUCUUUUAAACCAUACCAAGGAACAGAUUAAAUCAUCAAUGAAAAAUUAAUCACAUAAUAACUUAACCAGACAAAUGAAGAGCCUGAAACAGCACAAAACUUGAAUAUGAUUAUGAUAAUUGUUGAGUCCUUGUAUCUACAGCUUUCCUUCAAUGAUAAGACAAUGAACAUAAACGAGAUGCAAAAAAUUUAUUUUAAGCUGACAGCCCAUGAUAUAAAUCAAACAAAAUCAACUCCUUUUUUUACACAUCACAUCUCAUAUUCAUUUACAUUGAAACACAAAAAGGAAGCAGGAGUGGGAAAAAAACAACAGCAGAGGAACUUAUUUCCAUAAGGUUUACGAAAUAAGGAAUCUAUUAAAACCCAAAACUUGAGGUCACCACUAAGAAUUUCGUUCUCAUUAUUUUUUUCUUCAUUUUUCACCAAUGAUGAACUUAAAAUACAAUCAUAAAUGAUAAAACCCCAUCUCCAUCUUUUUGAACUAGAGCUAAAGCAAAGCAUUUUAAGAUGUUUCAUCAUUUUUUUUAAAAAAAAAAACCUCAAUAGUACAAUGUUUUUCAAUGUUAAAUGCACAAUUCAAUCUUCUCCUAAUUUACUCUAAUAAUCUCUUAAUUAAGGAAGAUUAAGCUUCAGUUGUAAGCUAAAACAAAUUUCUUAAAUCAAGCCCCAAUGCUUUAUGCUAUUCAACAAGGGCUCAUAAAUGAUAAAACUACUUCUACAAAGAUACCCAUUUUCUAAAUUAAUUUCACAAACUGAAAUCAAACUCCUGAAACGUAACGAGCAUUAAUAUAAUCAAACCCGAACAAGAAUUGAAAAACGACACAUAAACUCGUUUACACAUUUUGACAGACACUUUGCAAUCAAUGAGCAAAAAAUUAAUGGAGAAGAUAAAAUUCAAACGAAACAUGCCUUACAUUGAUAAAUUAGAAGGGCAAAAGAAAUUUUAGUAAGAUAUGGGAUCAGGGUCUUGCCACGGUGAUGUUAUUUGUGAUGUUCGAGCGACUCAGCAGCCUUCGAGGUUGAAAAUUUGAUUGACCAAAAGCUUCCCGUUCGUUGAUUCUCUAAUAGCAGAAACGAGACUGGCAGUAUACACAACAAGUUCGCUGAUUUUAAAUUCCGUUGUUUGAGAUGGAAAUUUUUUUUGAAAAAAUUAAUGUGUUCGAUGAAUAUCAAAAUCUAAAAAACUUUUUGUUUUUCAUUUUUUUGGAAAAAGCCAUUGAGAUCCUUACUAUUUUUUCUUAUAUCAUCUUGCUUAAUAAUUUGCAAAGUCUAUCGCAUAGCACCCAUGCAUGAUGUAUGCUGCGUUGUAAUUUACAAAAUUGCACAUGAAUAAAUCCAGCUAAAAUUUGUUAAAAGAAAAUAAUAAUAACAUGUUAAAACUUAAAAAUUUGAUUAUUCGAAGAAAUUUUAAUUUAGUUAAGUAGGUGACAUGAUAAUAAAUAGAUACGUAUAAUGUCCGAGAUUUUUAUAAGAUUAAUAAAUAUGAUAAAAUUAAACAUGCAAAUAUACACACUAAUUUAGAUGUGUGAAUAACAAAUAUGGAACGACACAUGCAAAGUCAUCUGUAUAAUUGAAACGCCAUGCACUAGUAGUAGGUAAGAGAAACCAAGGUUGAAGUUGCUCCAAUGGUUACUGUUCAUUUAUUUUUAUUUAUGAUUUUUAUGUAAAAUGUAAGAAAUAUGUAGAAAUGUUGCCAGCAAUGAUUUUGGAACUUUGCAUAAAAUUUUUAUCAUUAUUGUUUUUGGUAUUAAGAAAUCCGAGGCGGUGAUUAGACGUAUGUUGCAACAAUUAAGAAAUUUCUUAUUGGAGAUAAUUUGGUAGGUUGCAGCAAUUAGAGAAUAAUUUUCCUGCCGGUUAAUCAAUCAAUAAUAAAUUUCAAAUUGCAGAAAAUAAAAUAAUACUGUCGCACUUAGAAUCAUAUUUUCUAUCUCUUUCAAUUGUGGCAAUCAUUUGUAACAAAUAAAUCAAUUUGAUGCACAUCAUUUCCCCAAUUCAAAGUUCAAGUCACUGCUCAAUUGCAGAGUAGUUAGUAGACAUGCAUGCAUGUUUAAUUAAGUACUGCAUUGUAGUAUCGAAAAUCAUAACAUCUCACCAAGCCCAGAAACUAUGGGAAACAUGAUCUCACUCUCAGUGUCACUUGAUUCCAUUUUCUGUUCUUGCCUUGAUUUCGAUGUUGGGAAUGUGACGUCUGAGUCUAAGGUUGAAGAUAAUCUCGAUGCCUUGCGGACUGCAAUGGAAAAAUAAGCGGAAACGAGAAAUGAUGUGAUAAUAUUUACAAAAGAAUGGAUCGAGUGCAGGGCUGGCUUUCAAGGGUAAAAGCUGUGGAAAAUAAAGCUGAUGAUUUGAUGAGACACAGCUCUCAAGAGAUUGAGAAGUUAUGCCUUGGAGGCUUCUGUUCCAAGAACUGCAAAUGAAGCCACAGCCGUGGGAUAGAAGCUGCUACAAUGCUACGAGUUGUGGAGACUUUAAUGGGUGAAGGAUCAUUUGAAUUGGUGGCUGAGAGGGUGCCAGAAGAUGCAGCAGAGGAGAUAAAUUGUGAGUCAACAAUAAUGGGCAUGGUGUCGACUUUUGAGAAAGCCUGGAGAUGCCUUGAAGAAGAAUAAGUUGGAAUUAUUGGCCUAUAUGUCAAUGGGAGAGUUGGAAAUAUUUACUCAAAUCAACAAGAAGUUCCUUGAUAGUCCAAAUAAUUUUGAUGUUGCAAUCUGGGUAGUGGUCUGCCAAGAUUUGCAACCCCAGAAGUUUCGGGAAAAGAUUGGGAAAAAGAAAGGCUUGUUCGAUGAGUCAUGGAAGAACUGAAGUUUUGAAGAGAAAGCACUCGAUAUAUUCAAGAAUUUAAGCAAGAUGAAGUUUGUAUUACUGCUGGAUGAUAUAUGGGAGCAGGUUGAUUUAAUUAAAAUUGGUGUCCCUCUUCCAAGCACAAAAAUUACAUUCAAGAUAGUCUUCACAGCUCCUUCUAUUACAUUUGUGGCCUCAUGGAAGCUCACGACAAGAUUAAAGUGGAGUGUUUAAAUGACGAAGAAGCAUGGGAAUUAUUCUGCAAGAAGGUUGGAGAAGAUGUGGCGACUCUGUCCAAGUGCUAAGGAGCUCAGCCUCAGAAUUUCUAGGUACGGAAAAAUAAGUAUAUCCUCUUUUGAAAUUCAGUUAUGAUAAUUUACCUAGUGAUAAAAUUAGAUCGAGUCUGUUAUACUGUAGUUUGUUUCCAGAAGACUUUCCAAUUAGCAAAAUGGAAUUGAUACUGAGAUAUGAAAUCAAGGAUACUACAUUAUUGGUGUUCUUGUUCCUUUAUGUUUAUUGGAAGAAGAGGCUCCACUAUAUGUAAAAGUGCAUGAUGUGAUACGCGAUAUGCUUCUGUGGAUCGCAUGUGAAUUUUUUUUUUUUUUUUUGAUAGGGAUAGUAUGUGAAGUUGAGAAGGAGAAAGAGAAUUUUUUGGUUCGUGCAGGUGCAAGGAUUAACUGAAGUACCAGACAUUUGGAAAUGGGAAGGGUUGAGAAGGGUGUCUUUGAUGAGCAACAAAACUGAGAAGUUAUCAGAAAUUCCUUCAGAUCCCCAUCUACUGACUUUGUUGCUUCAACGUAAUUAUUUAGAGAUGAUCAAUAAUGACUUCUUCCAAUCUAUGCAUUCCCUUAGAGUUUUGAACUUAUCAUGUAAUCGUUCUCUAACUGAUAAUUUCAAAGUUAGUUUCCCUACAACAUCUUAAUUUAUCAAUGACUAACAUACGAGAGUUGCCGAUUGAGUUAAAGUUUGUAGUGAAUCUUAAGUUUUUGAAUGUGGAGUAUGCACGGUUUCUUCAUUCAAUUCCAGGGCAAGUGAUAUCCAGUUUUACGAUGUUACAAGUUUUGAAGAUGUUUGGUUGUGGCAGGUCAUCUUCUGAUCGUGAGCCACACCAGAAGAUAGCGUUUUAUUUGGAGGCAGUAAACUUUUGAUUGCGGAGUUGUUUGGUUUGAGAGACAUUUAGAUUUGUUGACCAUCAUCCUAAGAAGCUCCCAUGCUCUGAAAGAUUUUUGAGCUCCAACAAACUUCAAAGUUGUACUCAAUCUCUCUAUCCUAAAUGCUUUGAUUCGAAGUCAGUUGAUGUUUUUGGCCUGGCUGAUCUGAAGCAUCUCAAUAGGCUAUAGAUAUUGCGAGUUGUAAGCUUUUGGAAGAAGUGAAGAUUGACUUUGUUGGGAAAGCACAAUGAACCCAUGGUUUUCACAGCCUUAUGUCACAGAAGUUGUGUAAAUACUGCACGGGUUGCUGCCAUCCCAUGACAUUGAGCCAUGUUGAAAUAUCAUUUUGCUGUAAACUGAGGGAUCUGACAUAGCUUGCUUUUGCUCCAGGCCUUCUUGUUGUUUCCAGAAAACAUUGCCAUGAUAUAGAAGAAAUACUCGGUGUUGGAAAAUUAGGUAAAGAGAUGAUGUCAAACCUGGAACCUCCUACAAAACUCCAAGGUUACGUUUGUCAUGUGGGAUUGGAUUGAACUAAAUUAUUAAGAUUGAAUUAAAUUGAAUUAUAUUUAUAUUCUUAUGUUUAGUACCGGAUUGAACUAUAUUAGAUUAUAUUUAAAUAAUAUUAAAUAGUAUUUAAGUUGGUAUUUUAAUAUAAAUAUCAAUUAUCCAUGAAAUUUUAUAAUCAUAAUUAAAAUAAAUUUAAAAAGUAAUUACUAGGAAAAUUAAAUAUAUUGCAAAAAGUUAUUGGGUAGUCAUAAUAUAAUAAGCAAAUAAAAUUAAAUAAAACAAAUUAAAUAUUUAAUUAAUUUUUAUCAAAUAUUUAAAAAUAUUAUAUAAAAUCAAUUAAUUAAUGGUUUUAUUAAUUUUCAUGAUUAUUUUUAAUAUUACAUUAGUGAUUAUUAAAUUUAAUACAAUCAAAUAAUGCAAUAAAUAAUUAAACGUUUAAUUUUAUCGAUUAAUUAUUAAAUAUACAAGUAAUAAAAAUUUAAUCUCAGGAGUUGGUAGAAGCAAAAGUACUAAUUUAAUUACAUCAUAGAUAAUAAAUAAAAAUAAAUUCUAAGUAAAUCAUAAUAAAAAAAUUAAUUAAUUGAUUCAAUCAAUCAAUAUUAGGUGUAAAUAAAAAAAGAGUAAUGAUAUAGCCACAAACUCUUGCACAAACUUAUUUUGUACAAACUCAUGUGUCAUGAUAAGAUUAAUUAAAUUAAAUAUCACUUGACCUACAUGAUUUAUUUUUAUUAUUUUAUAUUUUCAUUCAACCAAUGAAUUAACGCCACGUCAGUUUGUAUAAGAUAGGUUUGUACAAGAGUUUGUGGCUGUAUCGUCGCUUAUAAAAAAAAAUAUAAAUAAAAAUAUCAUAAAUAGACAACUUUUAUCUUUAAUCUUAUUCCAACUAAACACAUGUGUAAAUUAGAAUUAUUAAUCCCAUGAUUUUAAGAUUAAAUUCAAAUUUAUUCCCCCUUAAUCCAAUCCAACUAAACUUGUCAAACAUGGGAUAAAAAUUUAAUUCUAAAAUUAGUACAAUUCCAUAUUUAAUCCUAACAUCCAAAUAUAGCCCAAGUUGUUUGCUUAAAGAAGCUACCAAAUUUGAAGAGCGUUUACGGGAAGGCCUUGCGUUUCCCAGAUGUAUGCAGAAUUUUUGUAUCUAAAUGCCCAGAACUUAAGAAGCUGACGCUGGAUUUGAAAGGGCGGGCCAAGGUAAAAUUCUUAUCAAGUGAAAGGAAAAUCGGUGGGAACAACUUCAAUGGGAGGAUCAAGCAACUCAGGAUGCAUUGCUUCUGUUUUUCAAAUCAACUGACAAGUGAUUGAAGGGGCCAUCAUCAGCCUGGAUGGGGAGAUCCUGGAGCAGAUCAGCAGGGUUUGAAUCUGCAUCAUCAACAUCAUCAGGAUCUCUAUUUCUAUUGCUGGUCGUAAUGCCUGCCUACUGUUGCUUGAAAAAGUGAUUAAGUGAGCCAGUUUUUUGUUUAUUAAAUUUUGUCUUGUGGAGACAGUCACAAAGUAUUUUUCAAUUAUGAUAUUCUGUGGGAAAUUGCAAGUAUUUUCAAAUAUGAUCGUUACUAAAGGAAACAAAGGAAUCAACACAGCAUACUGAACCUCAGCAGUAUGAAGCUAAUGAUUAAACUCCUCACACAAUUCAUGACAUGCAAAACCAUUCACAAAAUCAUCCACAGCAACCAUAAUUGGCGUUUACAAGAAUUACUUUUCUGUUCAUGCAAUCGGCGUCUGAACGCGGCUGAUCGGUCACCAGUGUUGGCGUUUACUGUGAUUAGACAAAUUGUAGGACUUCAAAAAUAACUUCUAUAGAGGUAAUUUCGAUUUCACAUAAUUAAUUUUAGGGAAAUUUACACUCGUCCACCUGUUUGUUUUGCCUUUUUCAAAAAUACACAAACACUUUUUUUUUUUUGCAGCGCGUCACCUGAAGUUUAUUUUUUGUUGCAUUCAUUCACUUCCGUCUAAUUUCCGUUAGUGGAUUUAACGGAAUGUUAACGAAAUGACCUUUUUACCCCUCAAAAUUAUAAUUUAACCCAAAAUAAAUGGAAAUUAGAGAUAAAUUAGGUGGAUUUAAUUUUUUUUAAAGGUGGAUACUAGAAAUUGGAGGAAAAUAGUGUUUGUUGCUUGCUAAAUUUAGAAAAUUUGUAUUUAUUUUUUUGAAAGACAAAAAAAUAAAUACACAAAAAAAAUAAAUACACAAAAAAUAAAUACAAAUUUUCUAAAUUUAGCAAGCAAUAAACACUAUUUUUCUCUAAAAAAAUAAAUAUAAAUUUUUUAAAUUUAGCGGGCAACAAAUAUUAUUUUCCUCCAAUUUCUAGCAUCCACCUUUGAAAAAAAUUAAAUCCAUCCAAUUUAUUUCUAAUUUCUAUUUAUUUUGGGUUAAAUUGUAAUUUUGAAGGGUAAAAAGGUCAUUCCGUUAAAUUCACUAAUGAAAAUUAAACGGAAGUGGACGAAUGCAACAAAAAGUAAACUUCAGGUGGCGCACUGAAAAAAAAAAGUGUUUGUGUAUUUUUAAAAAAGACAAAACAAACGGUGGACGGUUAUAAAUUUCCCUUAAUUUUAUUUACAAUAUUUUAUGCCUGCUAGGUCAAUUGAGAUUCUUUCCACCGGGCACACUCUUCAUGUUCUUUUAUUUUCUGUCUUUUAUUAGACGUUGGAUUUUACUACUCUUUUAUCCAACGGCUUGCCACAACAAGACAAAUGAGGUGGUACAUUCAUUUUAUGUCCUUUCAUGUUUUUGAAUUACUGAAGACAAGUGGCUCGUCGCUUUUACUGUAGGUAAGAUCCAAAUUAUCUCGAUUAUCAAAAUAAUUAUUUUAAAAUACCUUAAUUGUUUUUAUUUUUAUGUUGCCGGAAUCAGAAUGAGCUGAAAUCAGAAUGAGUAAGAAUAAAAAUUGACUGAAAUGUAAAUAAUGAAUGAGAAUUAAAAUAAAUUGUUUACUUAAACUAUAAGAAUCCAAAUCAAAAUGAUUGCCAUUAAUGUGUUUCCUUUGUCUUGAAAUCGGAAUCAUAAUGAAUUAAAUUGUAACAAAUUAUUAAAAAGUACUUAAUAAAUUAUUAUCAUAAUUAUUAUUAAUUAAUUGUAAAAUUUUUUAAUUAAUUAUAAUAAUUAUAAUGAUAUUCGGCCACCACGAGACCAUAACGAAGCCAGAAACACAUGCUUCUUCUGCCGUUUCGAAGUUUUAAAUUUAAAAAUUAAAAACACAAUUUUCCAUUGAAAAAUAUCAAAAUUAAAUCUAAAGAAUUUGAAAAAUCCAAAAUCCUUACCCGUCCCUCUCACUGUCCCUCUUAUUCGCUUAUUCUCUCUCUCUCUCUCUCACUCACCCGAUCUAGGGAUGGGCACGGUUCGGUUCGGUUCGAAAUUAAGUAGAACCGAUUUAAAUCGGUUAUUUUAUAAAAAGAACCGAACUCAAUAAGAACCGAACUCAAACGGUUCUUUUCGGAUCGGUUCGAUUUGGUUCGGUUUUUUCGGUUUUGGGCCUAUUUUGAAUUUUUAAAAUUUUAGUCCAUUGGGCCUCAUGAAUGUAAUAAUUUUUUUCAAUAAUUAAUUUAUCCUAAUUUUAUUACAAAUAUUAACAAUAAAUACAAAGUAUUCAAAACACAGUUUAUCACUAAUAUCUUACUAACUAUUAAUAAGAUACUCCCAAAUAUAUGAAAUAUUAAAAUUUCAAAAUACAUAACCAAACUCCAAUACUCCAUCUAUAUAAACAUAAUCAUAAUGUUAUAAAGAGAAAUAACACAUGUUUGAUUUGAAUAAAAUCAAAAAAUAAUUUGGUUUUUCGGUUCGGUUUUUCGGUUCAGCUAAGUGAAUCGAAUACCGAACCGACAUUUCGGUUUUUUUUACAAACGGUAUAUUCGGUUUUUUUUAAAAAUAAAAAUCGAACCGAAUUAGAAAAAACCGUCGGUUCGGUUCGGUUUUUUUAAGACUACGGUUUUUUUGCCCACCCCUAACCCGAUCUGCCUCUUUUACUCACCCACUAGCAGGCUGUCACUCACCCACAAAACUUGUCACGCCACGGCCAUUGUUGACCAGCCAUCAUCGCUGUCACGCCACGCCCAUUGCCGACCAGCCCAUCACUGAUCACAUCGCCGUUGACGGUGUGCUUGACGAUUUUGGACCUUUUUCACCUACGUAGGUAAUUAAAUUUAGCAUGUUGAGGAAAGUUUUGAUUUAUUGUAUUUAUAUUUUAAAAUUAUUAGAAAUAAGUUAUUGGAAAUGUAGAUUUUGUUUGAAUUAUAUAUGAUUAAUACAAUUUAUUUUUCAUGGUAUAAAAAUGAAGGAUUUGGAAAAAAAACUACAAAGUCGAAGAUUUUGAAGAAUUAGAUUAACAACAAUUUAAAUGGAAAUAAUGAAAAAACUGAUAAUGAUGUGGAUGUGAAACCAAAAAAGUAUGAGCCAAAGUUUGGGAUGUUGUUUGAUAAACACCAUUAUCUUCUUAUGAGCCAAAAAAGGAAGAAUUAGAUGACAACAAUUAAGGUAAGAUUAAACUACUUACUUAAUUAUUCUACAAUUAAUUUAAUUUUAAUUUUAAUGUAUCUUUUUAUGGAUUUGCAGGAUUCAAAUGUACAAACACCAUUAUCUUCUGAGGUGGAUAUUGUAGUCCCAACGCAUGAGAGCAAUAAGGAUCCUGUAAGUUUUAUGUUCUUUGAUGUAAUACUAUUUAAUUAUUUUAAUUUUUAAUGGUCACUAAAUAAUGGUCAUUAUUUAAGAACCUGUGAUCGCAUACCAAUUACAAGGAUGUGAUAUUUAUCCAUGGUUUCCUUUUGAUUCUUACAUUGUAAGUUAUAAUCCAAUUUCUAUAUUUAUGCCUAGUUAAUUUUGCAUUUUCUGGAAUGUAAUAUGGUUCUUAUUUUGUACAAACUAGCAAUCCCCAUCACUCCCAUCUAUGUUGCCUUAUUCUUCAUCUUGGAUAUCGUAUAAAGGUUCUCAACAAAGGAGUUUUCAGUAAUCGCUACUUCAACAGAAUGAUAAUAACAAAGAAGUUUGAAGCAGACUUAACAGAUUGAUCAUUGACUUAUUCUUUUGUUGUGUUUUGUGUAUUAGUUGGUUGGAUGAUAUUACUCUAGUGCUCAAUGAUUGAACGUGGAAAUAUUUUGAAGGGUUUUUAUCCAUAUAUUCAAAGGGUUAAGUGUGUCAAUAACCAUUACAACAAUAAGAGUAGUUCAUAUAGAAAUGUCAAAUUAACCACACACAAAAGAAAAAGGUACAAAUAACUUAUUUCUAGUAAUUUUAAAAUAUAAAUACAAAAAAAAACCAAAUACUUUUCUAAUCAAAGUAUCACAUACAAGGUUUCGUAAAGGCCGUGUCAAAAGAAUUUCUUUAACUGAUUAAAUAUACUAAUUUUAGGUGACAAUAAUCUAAUAAUUUUAAACUAAAUUAACUUAAUUUCGCGAAAAAAAAUUCAAAAAACGCAUAGAAUUACGGAUCAAGUCUAAUUAACAAUCAAACGUAGUAACUCAGAUGCAUUUAUGCCAAAAAGAAUGUUCAUAAGACUACACAAAACCACCCAAAAAAAAUUAUAAAAUAAUAAAAGCAGCAGCUGCAAUAGAUUUUGCCUGAACAAGAAACACAACAAAACAAAGAGAAUAAAUCAAUCAAGGGCAUAAAUAGAUUGAACAAAAAAGGGCAAGAUCAGAGAAGAAACUGACCCACGACACUGGAUCCUCCUAAGCCUAGCGUCAUGGUUGCGGUUUUGAUGAUGCGUUAGCUGAGGUCUGACCAAAAUAUUGACAGUGACCUUGUGGGUGAGUGAGAGGUGAACGAGCUUCGUGGGUGAGAGUGAGAGCCGAGAGGGACAGAGCGGGUGAGAGAGAGAGAGGGUGAGUGAGGGGAGCGAUAAGAAUUUAGAUUUUUUUAGUUUGUUUUGAUUAGCUUUUAUUAUUUUUUAAUGGUAAAAUUUGUUUUUAAUUCUCAAAUCUAAAAUUUCAAAACGGCACAUACGCGUGUCGUUUCUGGCUUCCCUCUGUAACGAGGGCGGCCGAAUAUCAUUUUUUAAAUCAUUAUUUUAAAAUGGGUCUACAUUGCAACAGUAGUACGAUCCCAUUAUUAUUUUCAGUCAUUAAAUUUUAUUAAUAUAAUUAUAUAAUUAUAAAUUUAAUAAUUAAAAACAACAAUAAUAAUAUACUGUUGCAAUAUAAUUUUGACCUUUAAAAUGCCUUAAUUGUUUUUACUUUUAAUGUUACCGGCCUUUCUUAUAUUUUAUUAUAAAUUAAUACUAACAAGAAAAAGCUAGAUCAUUUUCCACAAAAAUAAAAGUGACAAAACAAUCAGCUAGAUUCUUUUAUUAAACUAUAAAUUAAAACGGAUUUUUUUUUAAUAAACUACAUAUGAAAGUGGAAUCUUUUGAAUAUAAGUGAGUAGGCUCUCUUUUUUUAAAAAAAAAAAACGGGGUAGGUUCUUUUAAUAAAGACAAGUCAUAAGUAUUAAGUAGUCACGACCAUUAGACUCUUUUAUUAGGACCUGUCUAUGGUACAGAUUCUGUAACAAACAUCUCCCGUCAUACCACCAUCCGAUCUUCUAUUGUUUAGUUUCUCACUUCACAUCCAACGGCUGAUGCUGCAGUCUGUAGCUUACAGAUUCUGUAAGCUAGUCAAGUCCCUUUUAUUAAAUUACAAAUUGUAGGAGGUUGCUACGUUACAGAAUCUGUAACAUACACAUUCAAUGGGAAGCAGCACACGUGUCCUGAAGAGAGAGAAAAAUCGGGCAAAUGCAGGCAAUGGCGGGUAAUGGGAGUUGGCUAAAAGUUGGAUAUGCAAAUUUACAAAAGAGUACUGCUAUUUACUCCGAAUGCUAACUCUGAAUUUACGCCCCGAGAGAUAAAACGACGUCGUUUUUUUUUUUUGCUUUGUAAUUUCAGCCAAAAAAGGUGGGCAGCACGUGGGUGAGCAUAUGCUUCAAUUAAUUUGGAACCAAAACGACGUCGUCUGUUCCUGCUUAAUCCUUCGUUUUGCUUUUCUUUCCAACCACAACGCUCGGCACCCAAAACUUCCACAAACUGCAAACUGCAAAACAUUUCCAUAUGCUAGCUCUUUAUGCAUGUGACCAAACACAACUUUCAUGUGUCUGUCUGCUUGUGUAUAUAGGAUGGAAACUUAUAUGGGUUUCUCCAAUCACCUGAAUGAUUGUAUUCUCAAAUGUUGCUUGUGGAUUCAUGGGAUUUGCUGUUCCAAAUGAUUAUGUUGAAGUCUUGACACUGAUUUGGGAAGGCUGUUGGUUUUAAUUUUGUUAACUAUUAGAGAUGUAGUACUUCUUGCAUGUCUAUUUCUUUUUCUUUUUUUGUCUUCCCUCUAAUUUAAUCAAUUUUAAAUGCACUAGAUGCCACAUGCUUUGUCUGCAUAUUUGUCUCUGGGCAUAGUCUGAAGAUGCUUUUGCCAACACAGAGCUGAUUUAGGGAAUGCCCAUGGAGCACUUGUAAGUGCCUGCUUUUCCAUAAAUCACAAAAUUUUAACAUGUCAAAACUUAAUGAUUCGUGAAAGUUGAAUGCUGAAUUUGAACGCCAACUUGUACAUGGGCUUUGGCAUACAGCAGCCAACAACGGUUCCUCAACGUAAGCACUUGUUUGAAACGCGUUUUUAUUUGCAGGCGCAAGAACUAUUGCUGCUGUUUGCAAAACAAAAAGUGAUUGCAAAACAAAAAGUAAAACGAAAGGAAAAGGUGUUUCGAUUGUAGUUCGUCAAAAUGAGUCCAAAAGAAAAGAAAAAAUGCGUCGAAACGGUGCGUUUCCUUUUAAUUUCAAAACGGCACGUUUCAUUCGGGGUGUUAGUCGAGGCGCAAGUCGGGACAAGCAGCUUCUUCCUUUAUAAAAUCUGUAACUUAAGUCAGCUCCCAAAUUGUAUAGUCUUUUUUCAAAUUGUACAGACAUUUAUAAAUUGGUGGCCCCUUGGAAAUUUAAUGCCAAGCAGACAAAAGUCAUCAUGCACAAUCCUCAAUAAUUAUUUCGCGUAUAUUUAUAAAUUGGUGGCCCCUACGUCCUCAAUAAUUGUUCAGAUACUUAUAAAUUGGCGGCCCUUGAUAAUUUAACAGCAGCUUGCAAGUGCCAACUAGUGAAAAGUCAUCAUUCACAAUCUUCCAAAUGAACCAAGGGACAUACAAAGAUUAAGACAUGUCAUUCUUUUUUCAUUCCCUUUCAUGUAACUUACAUCUAAAUACAUAAAUAAUAUAAAAUGAAUGGAGAGAUGCCGGAGCAUAUCAGCAGGGUUUGAAUAUGACCUUUGGCGCUUGUCUUUUUUUGUGAUUUUUUUUUUCAUUUUUUCCUUCCUGUCAUUUUAUCAUUUCUUUGGCUUUGUCUCUAUUGCGGGCGUUACUGCAUGCUUACUGUUGCUUGACAAAGUUUGCUAGCUUUUCCUUUUGUUUAUUAAAUUUUUUUAUCGUCGCAAAGUAUUACUCGUUCUAUUUGACAGUGAUGUGAAUCAAUUUUUCAAUUUUAUAUUUUAUCGUCAAUGUGAAUUCAAUUUCAUUUGUCAUCAUGCAUAAUCCUCAAUAAUUGUUUCGAUAUUUAUAAAUUGGUGGCCCCUGCGUCCUCAAUAAUUGUUCCGAUACUUAUAAAUUGGUGGCCCCUUAAUAAUUUAACAGCAGCCUGCAAGUGCCGACUAGUGAAAAGUCAUCAUUCACAAUUUUCCAAAUGAACCAGGGGAUAUACAAAUAUUAAGACAUGUCAUUCUUUCUUUUUUUUUGAGUGAAACAGAAAUUUACAAGAAUUACUUUUCUGUUCAAGAAAUCGGCGUCUAAACGCGGCUGAUCGGCCACCGGUGUUGGCGUUUACUGUGAUUAGACAAAUUGUAGGAAUUCAAAAAUAACUUCUAUAGGGGUAAUUUCGAUUUCACAUAAUUAAUUUUAUUUACAAUAUUUUAUUCCUGCUAGGUCAAUUGAGAUUCUUUCCACCGAAAACACCCCUCAUGUUCUUUUAUUUCCUGUCUUUUAUUAGCCGUUGGAUUUUACUACUCUUAUAUCCAACGGCUUGCCACAACAAGACAAAUGAGGUGGUACCUUCCAACCGGUGAAAGGUAGUUUUGGCCCCAAGUGGAACAAGGGAUGCACUUACUAUUAAGGACAGUUGGCGGCCAGCCAAUGCAUUCAUUUUAUGUCCGUUCAUCUUUUCAAUUGUUAAAGACAAGUGGCUCAUCGCUUUUACUACAGGUAAAAUUCAGAUAAUCUCUAUUAUGAAAUAAUAAUAUUCAAAAUAUCUCAUAAAUUAUUAUAAACCUCAAAUUUAUCUUAAUUUUAUUUAAAAAAUAAAAGAAAAAUAGGUUAUGUUGGUGAAUUUUUUUUAAUCUUUUUAAUAAAAAUAAAAUAAAUUGAUGUUUUAUAAUAGUUUAAAGUACUUUAAAGAUUGUAAUUUUAUGAGAGAGUAAUAUUUCACUUUUUUAGUGUAAAAAGUUGAAAAAGGACAAAGCAAGUUUCUCUGAUUUUUAUUUUAUUUGAAAUUAGUCAUCUCAUAUACUUCACCCUUCAACACUACAAUUUUUUUGGUUAUUUUUUUAUUUUUUUAUUUUUUACAUAUGCACGUGAAUUUCUUUUCUUUAAGCUCCUGAAUAUUUAAGACAAAUCAUAGAAGAGAUGAAAGUAUAAUAAGAUGAUCAAAAUACGUAACAAAAAUUUUUAGAAGUGAAACAUACGUUAGAGUUGAAGCAAAACUCCAAAAAUAGAGAUACUGAUUAAUUUAGAAGAGAUGCGAGCAAAAGAUAUUCCCAAACAAAAAAGGGCAACUUGUCCCUUUGGAGGGCAAACUUGUCAGUUUGAAAAAAGUACAUGCUUUGGAUUGAUAGUUGCUGGAUAUUUGUUUUGUCACUGUGUAUUAGUUGAAGAAGUCAAGCCUAGUCAAGAAUGUUGUGAAAGAGCAAAGGAUAUUCCCGAUAGAGCUCUAUUUCAUUAUGUAUCCAGUGAAUAGAUGUGUUGUUGGAAGAUAAGUGAGUGCAUUAGUUCAUUUGUGUCUAUCAAUUUGCUUUUAAUGAUUUUUCCACUUGUUUUGUUGUAAAAGAUUAUUGUAAAAUUAAAUGAAUUUGAUGUUGUAAUAUUUUGUCUUUAGUGGAAUUUCACUUGGUAUGUGUUCAAUUGUGUUGUCUAUAAUUUUGCAUUCAAAUAAGUUUCCACCUAAAAUAUUAGCACGAGUAGUAGCCCUUGAAACUUUAGUCAAAAUUAUUGUUAUAAUUUCUUAUUAGGGGUAAACUUUUUAUUAAACCUCGUUAACAUAAUUCUUAAUUAAUUGUGUGUUUACAUGGAAUAGGGAAUGAGAAUGGAGGAAUGAGAAUGAAACUCAUGUUUACUUGGUAAAAUGUAAUUUGGGAAUGAGAAUAAAAUGUGUGGGUUUUACAUAAUUUGGGAAUAAGGAAUGAGAAUCUCAUUCCCAUGAAGGAUUGAGAAUGAAAUAUAUGUUUACUUUUGUAUCCCUAUACUUUUUUUAUAUUUCCCAAAUUACCCUCAUUCAAAUCACAAUUAAUUUAUUAUUUUAAAUGUCAUUAAUAAUAAUAAUAAUAAUAAUAAUAAUAAUAAUAAUAAUAAUAAUAGUAAUUUUUAAAUUUUAUUAACUUUAUUAUCUUUGUGAUGUUGAACCAUAUACAUAUAUAUAGAGAAAAGUAAAAGCUAUACCUAAGGUUGAGGGAAAAGACUUCAAAACUCUCUUUUGAUUAUAAAACCUUUUGUCUUAAUUAACUUAAAGAUUUUGAAUCUAAUAUUUUAUAAUAAAUAAAAAUAUAUUCCUAAAAUAAAUAUAAUAAUAUCUAUUUUAAAAUAAUAUCAAUAUUUAAAAUAUGUUUUAAUAUUUUAUGCUCUAUCAGACAUAUUUUAUUAUAUUAAAGUAAAUUUAAUAAUAAAUACAAACAUAAUGAAUUUAUAAAACAUUUAAAGUAUUUUGAAUAUUAUAUAAAAUAAUUUUAAUAUAAUGCAUGAGAUAUAUUUUAUUAAUUUAAAAUGCUAUUUAACCUAAGAUUUAUUUAAGAUAAAUUAAUAAUUAAAUUUUUUAAAAUUAUUUCAAAUAUUAAAAAUUUGUAAUAUUAUUAGUCUAUUAGAUAGAUUAAAUUAUUUAUAUUAUUUUGUAUCUAUUAAAAAAUUUUAAAGUCAAUCUUUUUAAUUACUAUUGGAAGGAUAUAAUGAUUAAAAAAAUCUUAGUAUUUUUUUAUUAAAAAUUUAAAAAUUUACAUGACAAUUUCUAUAAAUAUUUAGGUCUCGUUUGGUAUGUCGGAUUGGAUUGAAUUGGAUCUGAUCGGAUUAGAUAAGAUAGGAUUUGAUUGGAUAAUACUGGAUUAUAUAUAAUAUUAUGUUGUGUUUGUUAUGCCAUGAGAUUAGCUAGUAACUAAUAAUAUGUCUUAUAUAUUAAUUUAUUAAAAUCAUCGUAGAUUUUGAAAUACUAACUAGGCAAUCCAAGAGGGGGGGUGAAUUGAGAUUUUAAAAAUUAAGCUAAGCAAACCACACACAAAUUCAAUCUAAUGCCUUAAUAAAUUCGAAAACAAUAAAUUCAAUGAAAGCACAAUAAUAAAUGAGCAAUGGAAGAGAAAGCAAACUCAAGGAUUUUUACAUGGUUCGGUAAUCCCCGCCUACGUCCACGCCUCCAAGCUCACCGGACUUGAGGAUUUCACUAAGCUAGCCUCCCAAGGCUUCAAACGCUUACAAUUGACUUCCAAGGUGUCAAUGAACCUUUACAACAAGAGAUUAUCCCCAAUCUCUUAACCCAAGUGUAUCCCAACACUUACAAUCACUCAAAGUAAAAGAUUACAAAUUGUUUUGCCUCUCACAAUAUAUAAGAUUACACAAUGAUGCUUAUAUAUAUGAAUAGAUGAAGCAAGAAUGUGUUCUAAUUAAGCUCUAUGAAGAUUGUAUUCUCGAAUAUUAGCUCAAUGGUCGUGUUGUGAUCAACCUUCUUUGAUUUUGAAUGAGCUUAUUUAUAUCUGGAGCUGAAAAACUAGCCGUUACAAACUGUCGGUCCGAAAACGGUUCGCCGUUAAUCAUUAACGGUUAACCGUUUAGGCUGGUCAAAAGUUACCGUUGGGCCAAAUUUCAAAUAAACGGUUUGCCGUUUAGGCUUACCCUUUCGUCGUUAAAUUUCAGAGACCUACAAAACAAAUUUAAUUUAACCGUUCUUACUAAACGGUUCAAGGUUAGCAAUCUGGAAAUAACCGGUUAACCGUUUUCAGUAAACGGUUCACCGUUAUUUUCCAAAAUCAUCAUUUUAACAAUACUUUGCAGAACAUGCUUUCUGUAAAUUAUCGGUUAGCCGUUUUAAAUAAACGGUUAGCCGUUUUAUACAGUGAUUGCUACAGUAAAAUUAUUUUUUAAAUUUAUAGUUUGACCUCAAAAUUUUAUAAAACUGUAUUACGGCCCAAAACGUUAUGAAACUUUGCACAUAUGUCCAAUUUCAGAAUUUUUAAAUAAUUCUUUGUCAAUCCCAAAACUUUUUGAAAUUAUGAUUUCACCCAAACUAUGUGAAAUUAUAGAAUGACCCAAAAUAUUUAAAUAGUUUCAAAUAUGUCCAAAUCUGAAAUUUUAAAACAAUAUCAAAGGUUUUAAAAUACUUUCAUUUUAGUUCAAAAUACUUUAAUUCCUUAACAUAAUUUUCUUAUUAUAUAUGAAACCUUUAUACUGUGAAAAGAAUGAUUUAUUUAAAAUAUAAAAAAAUAAUUUGAGCUUAAAAGAUUUAUCAUUCUUAAUCUUGUUUGUUGUCAUCAAAAUCAACAUUAUGAAAACAUAUAUGUUAACAGAUUUACUUUAAAAUGACAUAUAAUAUAAUAUAACUUAAAUCAAUAAUUAUUGGUAAAUUUAUUAAAAAAAUACAAAAUCUUUGCUUAAUUUUUUUUUAAUAUUUAACAUGUUAUAGUUUCUAAUCCCAUGAAUAGUAAAAGAUAAAGUUUUAUCUUAGAAAAUGUAAUCUCAAGGGUCCCAUUGGGAUGAAAUUUUGCCUCUAUUGAAAUUAAGUGGUGGGCCUAUUAUUGUUACCUUUAUUUUUUUUACACCAAACAUAAUAUAAGGAUUAUUUUACACUAAAAUUAUCGAAUCCCAUAAUAUAUAACUAAAACCAAACAGGCACUUAGGGUAUAUAUGAGCCACGGUGGAGAAGCUUUAUUUAAUAUUAUUGAUUUAAAUAAUAUCUCAUUAAAAAUGUACUGAGAAGAAAUUUCGGUGGGUAUUUUAGUCUUUUCAGCAAUCACAUGAUCAGCCUUUGGCCUUGAAACUUCGGUCGGAAUGAUUUAUUCUAACAAGAAAAAACUAGGUAACAUUCCACAAAAGCAAAAGUGACAAAACAACCAGCUGGAUUCUUUUAGUAAACUACAAAUUAAAAUAGAUUUUUUCGAUAAACUACAAAUUAAAGUGGAUUCUUUUGAAUGCAAGUGGGACAGACGAUUAGGCUAAAAAUUAGUCAAGAAUCUAAUAGUCUUUUUCAAAUUCUUGUUUUAUUAUUUUUCAAAACCAGUUUUUGGUAAUUACAAUCGGGUCAUUAAUCAUUAUUCAGAGUUAUUGUUUCCUUCAAAAGUUAGUGGCUCAUGUUUGCAAGUGUGAAUGUGCGAUGCUUUUUUUCCAAAGCGCAAUGACAGUGGGUCCCGAAUCGGACGUGCCUGAAUCUUUUCAAAAUUUUAGGGAAUUAUCAUUUGUAUACCUUUAAUUUAUUUCAUUAUCAAAAAUACUACAAUACUUUAAGGGUGUAUCAAUCGUCCACCCUAAGUUGACAAAAUAUAUCAGCUGACCACUAAAUCGUUAGUUGUCGUUUAAGUAUGAUGACGUCAGAAGGAUAAUUUAGUCUUUUUAUAUAAUACAAGUGAUAAUUUAAGAGUAUAUAAGUGAUAAUUUUUAAGGGUAAAAUUAUCAAUUCACUGUAACUCUGUUAACUUUCAAACGGCAACUAACGGUUUGGUGGUCGGCUGAUACAUUUUGUCAAUUAAGGGUGGACGAUUGAUACACCCUUAAAAUAUUAUAGUAUUUUUAAUAACAGAACAAAUAUAAGGUAUAUGAAUGAUAAUUUUCCUAAAAUUUUUGCCGUAUAAGGAACAGAGGUCAUUACUAAAAUUUCUCUUCCACAGCCUACAGCAGCUUCAGUUUAUCAAACUCAAUCAAUUUUCUUUCUUAACAAAAUUCCAAAGAUGUGUAGCAUUUUUCAGAUCACAUGCGACGGUGCUCUUUUCAAUCGUUGCUUGGAUUGCUUUCUUGGAAAAGCAGCAUACAUACGUAACCUCCAAGAUAAUCUUGUAGCCUUGGAGACUGAAUUGGGAAAUCUAAUCGCAAUAAAGAACGAUCUGAUGAGGAGGGUUGACGAUGAUGAACGACAACAAAUGAGAAGGCUGGACGGAUUGCAAGUGUGGGUUUCGAGGGUGGAUGCUGUUAAAACUGGAGCCGAUGAACUUAUCACAGACGGCUCUGAAGAAAUUGGCAAAUUAUGUGUUGGAGGCUACUGUUCCAAGAACUGCAGGUCAAGCUACAAGUUCGGAAAACAAGUGGCUAAAAAGCUACAAGAUGUGAAGACUUUAAUCGCCGAGGGAGUUUUUGAGGCGGUGGCUACUGAGGUGGUGGCUGAGAGAGCUCCGGAACCUGUAGCAGAUAAAAGACCCAUUGAGCCAACAAUAGUAGGCUUGCAAUCACAGCUUGAACAAGUUUGGAGAUGUCUUGUAGAAGAAUCAGUGGGAAUCAUUGGCCUAUAUGGUAUGGGUGGUGUUGGUAAAACCACACUAUUGACCCAUAUCAACAACAAAUUUCUUGAGAGUCAAAACAACUUUGAUUGUGUGAUUUGGGUCGUAGUUUCAAAAGACCUGCGACUUGAAAAAAUUCAAGAAGAUAUUGGGAAGAAGAUAGGUCUAUCUGAUGAUUCAUGGAAGAAUAAAAGUUUUGAAGAGAAAGCUGUGGACAUCCUGCGGAGAUUAGGAGAGAAGAGAUUUGUAUUGUUGUUAGAUGAUUUAUGGGAGCGGGUUGAUUUAACAAAAGUGGGCGUUCCACUUCCCAGCGCACAAAAUACUACCUCAAAAGUCGUAUUCACAACCCGUUCCAUUGGUGUUUGUGGCAGCAUGAGAGCUAGGCCGGUUAAAGUGGCAUGCCUAUCAGAAAAGCAAGCUUGGGAACUGUUCCGCGAAAAUGUUGGGGAAGAAACUAUUGAGAGUGAUCAUGAGAUCGUUGAGCUAGCCCAAACUGUGGCCAAAGAGUGUGGUGGUUUGCCACUCGCACUUAUUACUAUUGGUCGAGCUAUGGCCUACAGAAAGAAAGCGGAGCAUUGGAGACGUGCAAUUGAAGAGUUAAGAAGAUCAGCUUCAGAGUUUGCAGGUUUGGGAAAAGAGGUGUAUCCUCUUUUAAAGUUUAGCUAUGAUAGUUUGCAGAAUGAGACAAUUAGAUCUUGUUUCUUGUAUUGUUGUUUAUAUCCUGAAGAUUAUGGCAUUCUUAAAUGGGACUUGAUUGAUUGUUGGAUUGGUGAGGGAUUUUUAGGGGAAUCUGACAGGUUUGGUGCAGAAAACCAAGGAUAUGACAUUUUGGACACACUUGUUCGUGCAUGUUUAUUAGAAGAGGUGGAAGAUGAUGAAGUAAAAAUGCAUGACGUUGUUCGUGAUAUGGCUCUAUGGAUAACUUGUGAAAUUGAGAAGGAGAAGAGAAACUUUUUGGUUUGUGCAGGUGAGGGACUAAAGGAGGCACCGGAUGUUAAAAGAUGGGAAAAUGUGAGAAGAUUGUCACUGAUGCAAAACCAAAUUGAAACUUUGUCAGAGGUUCCUACAUGCCCUCAUCUCCUCACUUUAUUUCUUGACUUCAAUGAAAAUUUGAAUAUGAUCGCGGAUGGCUUCUUCCAACUUAUGCCUUCUCUCAAAGUUUUGAAGAUGUCAAACUGCGUGAAUUUAACUUUGAAAUUACCUUUGGGGAUGUCAAAGUUAGGUUCACUAGAACUUCUUGAUGUUUCGCAUACUGGCAUAAGAGAGUUACCAGAAGAGUUAAAGUUGUUGGUAAAUCUGAAAUGUUUGACUUUGAGGUGGACAUUUGAGUUAAAUAAAAUUCCACGGCAACUAAUAUCAAAUUCUUCAAGGUUACGUGUGUUGAGAAUGUUGGGUACUGGCCUUUUGAAUUUUCAUCAAGCGUCAGAAGACAGCGUUUUAUUUGGUGGGGGUGAAGUUUUGAUACAGGAAUUGCUCGGUUUGAAAUAUUUAGAGGUAUUGGAGUUGACCUUGGGAAGUUAUCAUGCUCUCCAAAUUCUUUUGAGCUCAAAUAAGUUAAAAAGUUGUAUUCGAUCUCUUUUCCUCCAGUUGGCCGGAGAUGCAACGUCGAUUGUUGAUGCUACGGCUUUCACAGAUCUAAACCACCUCAAUGAAUUAUAUAUUAAUAAAGGUUUUGAGUUGGAAGAAUUGAAGAUUGAUUAUACGGAGAUAGUACGAAAAAGGCGGGAACCUUUUGUUUUCCGCAGCCUUCACCAUGUUACUAUAUGGCGGUGCGCUAAAUUGAAAGAUUCGACAUUCCUCGUUUUUGCUCCAAACCUCAAGUCUCUUGUGCUACGUAAUUGCCAUGCUAUGGAAGAAAUAAUCAGCGUUGGAAAAUUUUCCGAGGUUCCUGAGAUGAUGCGACAUAUGAGCCCUUUUGAAAAUCUCCAAAGGCUUCAUGUAGAAGAUUUGCCAGAUUUGAAGAGCAUCCACUGGAAGCCAUUGCCUUUCACUCAUCUGAAAGAAAUGGGGGUAAGAGCAUGUGAUCAGCUUGAAAAGCUUCCACUCGAUUCCAGCAGUGCAAAAGAGCAUAAAUUUGUUAUUCGUGGAGAAGCAGACUGGUGGAACCGACUUCAAUGGGAGGAUGAAGCCACUCAAAUUGCUUUUCGUUCCUGUUUCCAACCUUAUUCCUGAGCCGUGGUCGCAAAAUUUGAUUUCUGGUGAGUGCGUUUUUGUUAACGCUUAUGUUUUAUUCCAGUGUAUUUUUCUUCUGUCUUCUGCAAAUCACAAUUAAAUGUGUGAUACAUGUUACGGGUAAUAUACAUGCAGUAUUUUUGGUACACUGCAAAUCACAAUUAAAUGUGUGAUACAUGUUACGGGAAAUUUAUAUACAUGCAGUAUUUUUGGUGGGGUCGAAUUGAUGCUCUGGUUUUCGACUACUUUUUGCUGUCAAAAUUUUCUCUGUUUUUUCAAAUUGAUGCUUUAUUUAUAUCUUCUUCGUGAAAAGUGAUUUAAUUUCCUGCCAAAAGACGAACGAGAAGAACAUUAGAGUCAAACUAAUGCUCACAUAAAUUUCCCGUAAGAAUAUAUAUAUAAUUAGACUGGAAUAGUAGCACUCUUUACAGAAAAUGACGCGAAAGUUAAUUUAGAAAGAUAUAUUCUUGAUUAAUCCAUUUUCUGAAGCUUUUAUUUUGUAUGGUCAAUUAUACCUUCAUACUAAAAAUUUCUGAAGUUAUAAAUUAGUGCAACUUGACAAUUUUUACUGAUGAUAUCUUCUAUUUUUCCUUUCUUUUUUUUUUUACUCUCAUUGAAUGUUACUGUCAUUUUACUUACAAAUAGGUUUGAAUUUUAUUUAGUUUUCUCAUAGUAUUUGUGCAAGUACUAGAAGGUCAAACCCCGCAUACUUUGAUUGCCAAACCACCGUCCAAUUUAAAAAAAGAAAAAAAGAAAAAAAAUGUGUAAUCCAUGAAUCUGGUUAAUUUUGUUUGUUUGUUUUUUUUUUUUAAAUAUCAUUCUUUUUCGGCCACCCAAAAUAUCAUUGAUGACUUUUCUGGUCUAAUGCUAUGUAAAUAGUAUGUUAAGUAAAACAUAAUCAAUUAUUUGUGUUUUAUCUCUAAUUAGAACAUCAAUCAGUUCAGUACCUCACAAAUAAUUCGCAAUAUCUACAAAAUACUAUAAUGGCUACAAAACAAAUCCUGCUUGCAAAUUGUCAAGGAUACCUAUCCGUUCGCUUGACAAGUCAUUUGAAUAAAUAUUGUUCACAUUCCUUACUCUGUCAAUUAUCCAAAGCACCAUCAACUUUAGUUUGAAUAGUAUACAUGCCAUCACCAUUACCAAGAAUCAAGCAUGGAAUUGGAAGUCAUUCUAUAGAGUGCAGAACAUGACUGUACGGUAUAUAUAGCCCGGUGACUUUAUUGUUUUGUUAAAUUUUUUGUUUAAUAUUCUAAAUCUUUGUUUACAAAUUUUAAGUGUUAAUUCUUCGGAAAGCUGACCUCGAAGAAAGGCGUUAUUGAUAUCCAAUUGACGAAAAGGCCGGCCAUGACUAACAUCAAUACUAAGAACAAGUAUAGCCCGGUGACUUUAUUCUUUCUUGUAGUCUUUGCAUCACCACCUCAUUACACGCCAAGCCAAUAUUCCAUUUACCUCUACAACAAAAAGUUUUUAAGUAAACAAUCCUAAUGCACGCAGCCAAAUAAAAUGCAGUAAGAAUAUUCAACUUAAAAAUCUGAAAGCCAACUUGGUGAAUUGCCUCCUUAGGUGAAGUUCCAUGCUUUACUAUAGUUGACACAACUCAGCAAAAGCUUCCAUACAACAGAUUUCGAAAAUGAUGAUGCCAAUAGAUACUCAUUCAAUCCAUUGAAACUCCAAAGGUUCAUUGUUCAUAGAAGUUUACAGAGUUUUGGUCAUCAAAUAGCUCAGACCUAAUCCCAAACAAAAAACGAGUGAAAAUUAGAUCACGAGCAGCUAAUUGUAAAUUCUAACUUAACUCUUCAUCUCCUUUGUAAACAAGAAACAAAAUGGAGACACGCAAAAUGAAUAUGGAGAAAAUUUGAACUCAAAUGAAAUGAGGCACGAAAGCAAACAAAUGGCAUGCACAAAAAAACCAAGCCUCGAUAAAAAACUAAUUAACCAUUAAGAAAAAAAUUGGUCAGAGAAUGAACUCCAAAUUCAGGAGUCAAGCAAGAAGCUUUCAUUAUUUCAGAAGCUCCUGUACAAAUUAAUAAGUUAUGCUCUUUGGAUGCAAACCUAAAUUCCAAGAGAAACAGAACCCAAAAAAUUUGCAAUUAUACGCAAAGGAAGUGAAGCACAGGAUUCUAUCACACAUAGGAAUUGUAUAACAAGAGAUCGAUAUAUCGAAUUAGAAAACUCAAUUCGAAUUUGUGUCAAAAAUCAAAAUUAGAAGAUUUCACAUUUCGAGAGGAACAAGCAACAGAUGAAGUUGAAAAUUUUCAGCCAUAACAUGCUAAAAAUGCUACACUUAACGGUUCAUUUUCAUGGAUUUUCUCGGGAAACAAACAGAAAAUUACGGUUUAGAGAGUUGAAUGACCUUUUGGCUUUUGAAAUUGAGAAGAUCGCGCGCCAAAUUGGAAGAGGGAAAGUGAGAGUGCGAGUUUUAAU